rnacentral:lncRNA from 1 species
AUGGAGCAGACACCUUCUCCCCACACCUGGAGCAAUCAGUUACACCGCUUUGAUUGUGGAUAAGCUGCUCUUGAUUCAACAUAAGAAGCAGGGGAUGUUGGUGCCCAUUAAACAAGGUAAAUGGAUGUUCAUGAUUUGUACUCUUAAUAACUGGUGGUGGUGAUUGCGAUGCACAUUCAAUGUGAACAACAAACUGACAAGGAGAACAACCAUAAACAAAUCCUCUCCGCCUUAUUCCUAGGCAUAUCUGGCAAGGGAGCCGUUCGGAAUUAAAUUGUAGGACAAGAGGAUGCUCGCGAUGGCACUCAUGAUUCAGUUUGAAAGGAAGCUCAGCGCAUUUCUCAUGUAAAUUAAAUCCACACUCAGGAGAAAAGUGUGUAUAAUUUGCUAAUGGUUCCCAACACCCAAAGCACUUACUAACAUUUUCGAGUUCUUCAUCACGAUUUUCAGUGGGAAUCAAUGGAUCUCGGAGGGCAACAUGGUCAAGCUCUUUCAAAUUAUUCUCAGCAACAUUAAAUGUAAACAAAGCACAUUUAAUAUGAAAGUCCAAUCCGCAAGAGCAGUGAUAAAUGAAUUUCUCACAUGUUUUAUCACAGAAAUCACAAACACACCUUGUGUAAGAAGAUGGUGGCUCUUGCAGAAGAACAAGAGGAUGAUGAGGAUGAAAAGGAUGUUUAAGCUCCAAAGGUGCGUCGGCACAAGCCUUGUGAAGAUAAAACCCACAGUGCUCCACACAGCAAAAACAUGGAACAGACACCUCCUCCCCGCACCUGGAGCAAUGAGUUACACCACUUUGAUUGUGGAUCAGCUGGUCUUGAUUCAAGAUAAGAAGCAGGGGAUGUUGGUGGCCAUAAUUGUUAGACUCCUCCAUUUCUCCUUCGCCAAGCAAUAUAAAUAAAGGAAAAAGCUUGAUUUUGGAAGCAAAGAUUGAAAGGGAAAACAAGAUUACUAAGUGAAGAAAGAUAAAGAAUGAGGAAGUAGGAGAGCAUUUGAUAUUUAGAGGCAGAGGCAGAGGGUCGCUUAUAGUAAACAAUAGAGGUGAACUCAAUUAGGUAGUCAAUGUUCUUAUCUUUUGGUUGUAGAGCUCUGCCUGCUUCACACUUGCUUUUGAGGUUGGGUUGAUUUGAUAUUCAUGACUAUCAAUCCUUUUUUGUUUUAUUUCGAAAUUCCCGAAUUAUUUUAUACUAGACACCAUAUGUCAGUAUAUAUAUAUGUAUAUAUGUACAUGUUAAUCAAUUUUCUUGACACUUUCCUUCACACCACUUUCAUCCUUCAAUUAUUGUGGUGAACCAACGAUGUCGAAAAUAGUAAAUAAGCACAACCGGAACUUUACAGAAUUCUACUCAAAUUAUCAAGUCAACAAAUUAAAGUGUAAUUAACAUUUAAUAUUACACCAAAAAGAAACCACUUUUGGUAGAAUGUGCGUCUUACAUUGUGAGCUUUCAACUAAAGUUAUGUUUUUUUCUCUUUUAAAAGCAGUUUAUUUAUUUAAAUUUAAAAAAAAUUGAUUUAUUUUUCUAAAUACUUUUUUAAAAUGGUCUUUUUAUUUAAUUUGUCUAGUAAUAAUUUGUCUUCAAUUUUAAAGCCUAAAUGGUAAAUAAACUAAAUUCCAAAAAAUAAAAAUAUAAGAAUUAAAUUUUAAAUUUUAAAUUUAUGAAUAAUACAAUGGUGACUGUGCUUGGCCUCCAUUUCUCCUUCCCCAAGCAAUAUAAAUAAAGGAAAAGCUCGAUUUUGGGAGGAAAGUUUGAAUGGGAAAACAAGAUUACAAGUGAAGAAAGAUAAUGAUGGAGGAAGUGGGAGAGCAUUUGAUAUUUUGAGGCAAAGGUCAACUCAAUUAGCUAGUGAAUGCUUUUAUUCAAGAUAACACAUGCUGUUCAUGGUGGGUUGAUUUGAUGUUUAUGAGAUUUAUUUAAAUCAAUUUUGUUUACAGUUUCAGCCUUCAAUUAUUGUGGUGAACCCAACUUUCAGCGAACACAUACAAGAGCAAUUCAUGAGUUGUCGGGAAAAGUUUGGCUAUCUUUUUACACAAGAUAGGCAGUGGAGUAUUCGCUCUUUUUAAAAUGGAAAGUGGUUUAUUUUCUUAAUAUUUUAAAUUAAUAAUAAUAAAAUUAUAUUUUUAUUUUUCUUAAAAUUAAUAAAAUUCUAAUUUAAUUUUUUAAAAAUUAUAAAAAUAAUAAUUAAAAAUUUAAAUUUACUCCUCUAAAAAGUUUUUCUAACUAUACGGAAAGAUAGUUUGUUUUUGUUUUUUCGUUCUUUAAGUAAAAGCUAGAUACUAAUAAUGAUUUUCUUUUUUUACUUUGUUAUAAUGUUAAUUUACCAAAAUAAUUUUUUUAAAUGAAAUAUUGAAAUAAGUUACUGUUGACACCAUUUUUUUGAUGAAAACGGGGUCGACUUGGAUUUUGAAAAUGAAAACGGGAGUCGCCACCAAUCUUUUAUUAAGGUGUGAUUGGAUCACCUCGAAAAGCGGUCGUUUUUUAAUAAACGGUUUGAUUUUAUUAAAACAACAAGUUUGGUCCGCGAAAUUCAGAAAACGGGUUCGGGAGUCGGUUACGCACGAGGAAGGAUUAGCACCCUCGAUACGCCCAAAAUUGGUACCUUAGUUGAUUACUUAAUGUCUUAAUGUCAAAAAUUGAAAACUUAGAAGAAUUAAAAAAAAUACGAUCCUUGUAUUAAAACGUUGAAAAUUUUCAGGAAAAUGGGCAUAUUUCACAUUAUUCGAGAAAGAGAAUCAUAUCCAGUAAGUUAGAAUACAAUGUCUCAAAUUCCCAAUACGUAAAUGAAUGCCAGAAUUUUACUUAUUUAAAAGAUAUUUUAUUAUCUCGGGUUUAGGAAAGGGAUCAUGCCCAGUAAGUUAGGACACGAUCUUUUCUUAAUUCCCGAGAUCGUUUCAAAACUUGAGUUUGAAAAGAUCAGUGUGUUUAGAUUUAUUGUGGAAAUCGAAACCCAGUAAGUUAGGGUACGAUCCUCUCGAAUCUAAACAAAAAAUAUCACUUUUUUUAAACAAAUUUUAUUAUCGAGUAAAAUAAAAACAUGAAGUCGUAGUAAAAAAUGUGAAAGCAAAUUACAUUGUUAUACAUGACAAAAUCAUAAUGAAUACAAAAGUGUAAAAAUGAUACGAGCGAUAGCAACAAUAUAAAAUAAAUAAAAGUCAAACCCACAAUCAUAUAAAAUAACAAUAUAUAUAAACAAAUAAAUUAAACAUUCGUUCAAAAUAAUAAUGAAAAUGAAAUAAAUAAAUAAUGAAUACAAUCAAAAUUCAAAGGGAUAUAUAUAUUUAUGUGUAUAGACAAAAGAAAAUAUAAUAUGUGUGUAUUCAUAAAUUACAAUGUAUAUAUGUAAAGUAUACUUUAAAAUAUAAAAAAUAUGCAUAUAGAUAAAAAUAUGUACACAUAUAUAUAGAUGUAUAAAAUUAUGGAAUAUGAAAAUAAUGAAAUGCAUAUAUAAAGUAGGCGCAUGAAAAUAUGUAUGUACAAAUUAGAAUUUAAAAAUAAUGAAAAUAUACCGACGUAUACAAAUAAGUACGUUAAUUUAUAUAUAUAUAUGUUUAAAAUAUAUUGAAAAUAUGUAUGUAUAUGUCUAUGCAAAUUAAGAUAUACAAAAACAUAUAAAUAUAUACAUAAAUAUAUAUAUACUUAUAAAAAUAAAAAUAUGUAUGUGUAUAGAUAUAUAUAAAAAGAAAUAUGAGUAUACGUAUAUAUAUUAAACAAAUUAUAUGUAAAAUAUGUACAUGUACAUAUACAAGCACUUAUAUGAUAAUAAAAAAAUAUAUAUAUUUGAAAAUACAUAAGUAUAUAUGAAUAGAGAUGUAAAAGUAACAACAAUAAUACCAAUACUAAUAAUAGUAAAGAUGAUAAUAAUAAUAAUAAUAAUAAUAAUAAUGAAGUUAACAAAAAUUGACUAAAUAAUAAAAUAUGCUAAAAAGGGGCCUUAAAUCGAAAUGAAAUAGAACAUAUAGGGCCAAUUCGAAAUAAAGGAAAACGAAAGGGAUCCAAUUGCGACGCGCGUAAAAAAGGGAAGGACCGAAACAGAAAAUAAACCCAAAAUCCCAAAACGCAGCACCUCAAUGGACUAAAAUAAAACAAAAAUAAAAUGUUAGGGCUAAAUCAAAAUAAAAUAAAACAACAAAAUAGGACCAAAUUGAAACACGCCGCGAAUCAGAGGGACUGCGCGCAUAAAUAGCCCAAAAAUUAAAAACACGCGGAUCCUUCGGGUCGGGUCGGGUCGACGCGCGGAUCCCCUUUGCUAAAACGGCGUCGUUUCAUUUUGAAUAUAAAUAAUAGAAAAAAACAAAAAAAACAAAUCAGAUUCAUUUUUUAGAAAAAAAAGCUGAGAGGGAGAGUCUCUCUCUCAUUCUUUCAGGCCCGGCGUUGGUCAUCGGCCGAACUAGGCCUCCGGCGAUUCUCCGCCCUAGCGCCGCCGCGUAUGGUGGCCGGAGUAUCCCAAAAAUCGGAUUUUUUCAUCCUUUUCGAAGUUAAGUGCGUCUUAAGCACGAAUCGAAGGGUUAAAUCCGAAAAAGGAGGUCCGAAACUUGAAGAACGAGGAGAGACCACUCGCCCUUCCCCUUUCGACGUAGCACAGGUAACCCCUAUUCCUAUUUUGUUUUGUUAAAAGAGUUGUAGAAAAUAAAAAAAAUAAUAGAAGACAGGAAAUAAAACGCAAGAAUCUGAGAAAAAAAUCUGAAAUCCACCUUUUCUUUCGCUUUUUUAUCUUCUUAUUAUUCACUGAUUGUUGUUAAUUCCUUGUUUGAUACCCAAAAUCCCCCAAGCCCCCUUUUACAUAUUAAAUCUGGCUUUUUAUAGCCGAAAGAAAGAAAAAAAAUUUGUCUUCGUUUCUGCUUGCGUGUUUGUUUCUCUUUGCAGGUGGAGCGGGUGGAGCAGGUGAGCAGCGAUGGGACGUGCGGCGGCCAGCAAGUGAACGGCGGAGUUGGUGGGUCUGCUGGUAUGGGUUCUUUUGCUUCUUUCUUGGGCCCGGGCAAAUGGGCCUGCAACAGCUGCCCCUCUUUGCUCGUUGUCGUGUAACGAUAACAGAGUAAAGACUAAGAAAGGCCCAUUUUGCCCGGUCUUGCCGAGUCUUGACCUGUUCUGGUACUUCUCCAUUUCAAGUAGUUUCAUUCCAGUCCACUAGGUCUUGUUGCUUCGAUCCAUUCCACUGCAUUUUAGAGAGAUGCGUCCUGUAGCCUUUAUCUUCUUCGUAGCAACUUCAGGGGGACGAGGUUUGUGGUUUUCAAUCUAUUCCACUGCAUCUUCAGGGAAAUAAGACUUGAUGCGACCUACUCUGCUGUAACCUCAGAGAGAUAAGAUCCUUUAUUUUAACCCACUCCACUGUAACUUCAGGGAGAUAGGAUAGUGUCUUCGAUCUGCUCCGCUGUAAUCUCGGGGAGAUAAGAUCUCUGGCUUCAAUCUGCUCCACUGUAACUUCAGGGGGAUAAGAUCUGCAAUUCUUCGGUCUACUCCACUGUAACCUCAGAGAGAUAAGACCUGAUGCGAUCUACUCUACUGUAACUUCAGAGAGAUAAGAUCCUUUAUUUUAAUCCGCUCCACUGUAACUUCAGGGAGAUAGGAUUAUAUCUUCGAUCUGCUCCGCUGUAACCUCAGGGAGACAAGAUCUGUAAUUCUUCGGUCUGUUCCACUGUAAUCUCAGGGAGAUAAGAUCCUUUAUUUUAAUCCGCUCCACUGUAACUUCAGGGAGAUAGGAUUAUAUCUUCGAUCUGCUCCGCUGUAACCUCAGGGAGACAAGAUCUGCAAUUCUUCGGUCUGUUCCACUGUAAUCUCAGGGAGAUAAGACCUGAUGUGAUCUUCUCUACUGUAACUUCAGAGAGAUAAGAUCCUUUAAUCCGCUCUAUUGUAAUCUCAAGGAGAUAGGAUUACUAUCUUUGAUCUGCUCCGCUGUAAUCUCAGGGAGAUAAGAUCUCUGGCUUCAAUCUGCUCCAAUGCAACCGAUGGAGGCAAGGCUUUGUCUUUGAUCUGCUUCGCUGUUAAUGCAGGAAGGCAAGAUCUACUUCUUUAACUAGCUCCACUGCGAUCGAUGGAUGCAAGGCUUUGUUUUCGAUCUGCUUCGCUGUUAAUGUAGGAAGGCAAGAUCUUUUGUCUUCAACCAGCUCUAUCACAACCGAAAGAGGCAAGGUUUGUGUCUUCGAUCUGCUUCGCUGCUAAUGCAGGAAGGCAAGAUCCUUUGUCUUCAUUGAUCUGUCCCUUGGGGAACAUGACCUGUAUGUUCUAUUUUAUGAACCUAAUUGUGCCUAGUGAUUCAGAUGACAUAAUCAGAAUGAAUCCAAUUCUCCUAACUAGAUAUGUAUGAAUGACAUUUGAGUGAAUGCAAAAUGUCAUGAAGAUGAUUCCUUAAUGCUUAGGUUAACAUCACGUAAAAACUUAUUAAGGUUUUAUCACUGACGUACUACAACGCCUUUUUGCUCGUCUGGUAUAUCCAAAGAAACACUUAAUCUGGUUGCCCCCCCACUGUAAACCUUAAAGUUUAAUCUAUUAGGGCACAAAAUUUGUACCAUCAUUCUCCCACUAUAAUCCAAGGGUAGAAAGAUAUGGCUUUUUCAAUCUUCUCCUAUCGCAAUUCAAGGAUACAGAAUGUGAAGCUCUUUGGUCCUUUACCUCAUUCCCAAGGUGUCAUACCAAAUGCUCAUGCACAAUUGCAAAAUUUUCCUCUCCGAGAAAACCUUUUCUUAUCAUUUGGUGAUCAUUGCUUGUUUGUUCAUUGAAGCUUUGUCACCAACACGACAUCUCGUCAUUUUGUUCAAUCAAUGUUUGGACAACAAAAUCCAAAAAUAUAGUCUUUAACUUAGACUCUUCCUUCUUAGAUACUUCACCCUUUAAACUUGGUGUUUUCUAAACAAUAGUCCUGUUUCAGGUUUCUAUAUUAUUUAGAACUUUUCAGAGUAAUAUGCAAAACUUCUUUCCUGAAAGUUUUAUUAGUUCGUUAAUCAAUAUUCCUAUGCAACAUGUUUGCAAAAAGAUCAUAACAAUGGAUAAGAAUAAAGCUAGCUCUGAUCAUAACUCAAAUAAAACAUCAAAGAUGGCGAAAGAAAGGUAACAAAGAAGUGGAUUGAGAAUGCGCGUUUUCACAAAAGGCAAGGAAGAAAGAAAGAAAAUGUAUUUUCAAGAAUACACAUAUGAACUAGGUGCCCCAGCUAUCGCUGCUUGAGUUUCUCUGUACAAACUUUCCGAAGACCCUUCUGAGUUUGACAUGUGUUCAGGAAAUCUGCAAUACUCUGUCAAUGUUCCGAGACGUUGCAUAUCCUUCCUUAUUGGUAAAGCAAGAUCAUCAUAUGCCCCUGAUCAAAAUUUGAUCCGCUCAAGUCCUGAUGUUCCAAUCCUGCCCAAUACUCGAGUCGCCCUUUUCGGGUUUUCGACUCAAGCCCUCUUUGGUCUCAAAGUGCCCUUUACGGGUUUUCACCUUAGCCUCUCCAAAGUUUUUUUUUUUUUUUUUUUUUUUUUUUUUUUUUAGGAAGCAAAGCGCCCUUUACGGGUUUUCACUUUGGUUCCCCUUUCUUUCAAGUGAAGUAUUUCUUAACAGAGUCUGCGUUUACAGGAUUUGGUAAACUUUUGCCAUCCAUCUCGCAUAGGAUCAAAGCUCCACCGGAAAAGGCCUUCUUUACAACAUAAGGGCCUUCCCAAUUUGGCAUCCAUUUUCCUCUAAAAUCUUUUUGCAUAGGAAGAAUCUUUUUUAGUACCAAGUCCCCUUCACGAAAUUCUCGGGGGCGAACCUUUUUAUUAUAAGCUCGCAUCAUUCGUUUCUGGUACAUUUGCCCAUGGUGAAUAGCUCUUAGCCUCUUUUCUUCUAUUAGGUUCAACUGAUCGUACCGAGAUUGGAUCCAAUCGGCUUCAUCCAACUGUAGCUCAGAUAACACCCGUAGAGAAGGGAUUUCAACUUCAAUGGGUAAUACUGCCUCCAUUCCAUAAACCAGAGAAAAAGGCGUUGCCCCAGUAGAAGUUCUAACAGAUGUUCGAUAGGCGAGGAGAGCAAAUGAUAAUUUCUCAUGCCAAUCCUUGUAGGUUUCAGUCAUUUUCCCCACAAUCCUUUUAAUGUUUUUAUUGGCCGCCUCCACUGCACCAUUCAUUUUGGGACGAUACGGCGAUGAGUUAUGAUGCUUAAUUUUAAAUUUGCUACAAACUUCAGCUAUUGUGCUAUUAUUCAAGUUCAUCGCGUUGUCGGAUAUGAUCCUCUCAGGCAUCCCAUAUCGACAAAUGAUCUCCUUCUUCAAGAAUUUGCUGACUACUGCUUUUGUGACAUUUGCAUAUGAAGCAGCCUCCACCCACUUGGUAAAGUAAUCAAUUACUACGAAGAUGAAGCGAUGCCCAUUAGAAGCCUUUGGUGAUAUUGGCCCAAUAACAUCCAUACCCCACAUGGAAAACGGCCAAGGAGAGGUCAUGACGUGAAGAGGUGAAGGAGGCGCGUGUAUUUUGUCUCCGUAAAUUUGGCAUUUGUGGCACCUCCUGGCAUGAUCAAUGCAAUCUCCUUCCAUGGUGGGCCAAUAGUACCCAAAUCUCAUGAUCUGUUUGGCCAUCGUGAAACCACUGGCGUGCGUCCCACAAAUACCCUUAUGGACUUCUUCCAAAAUUUUCUUGGCUUCUACCGCAUCUACACAUCUUAACAGUACUUGAUCCUUCCUUCUUUUGUAUAACACUUCUCCAUCUAAGACAUAUUCAAUGGCUAUCUUUCUCAGAGUUCUUUUGUCAUUCUCUGUCGCUUGAUCAGGGUAUUCCCGAUUCUUCACAUAUUGUAAGAUACUCCGAUACCAAGGACAAUCAUCUUUUCCCUCCUCCUCAAUAUUGCAACAAUUAGCCGGGGUCUCAGAGAUACUCAUCUGAACAGGCCUCAUUGCCUCAAGUCUAUUCACCUGAAUCAUCGAAGCUAGAGUAGCUAAUGCAUCAGCCAUUUGGUUUUCCUCCCGUGGGAGGUAAUAGAAGGUGAUAUCGUCAAACUCCUCAGCCAAUUCAAGAACUAGUUUCCUAUAACCAAUUAGCUUAGGAUCUCUAGUCUCCCACUCCCCUUUGAGUUGGUAUAUCACCAACGCUGAAUCCCCGUAUACUCUCAGUACUUUGAUGUUCCGUUCAAUGGCUGCACGAAUGCCCAUAAUACAUGCUUCAUAUUCUGCCAUAUUAUUUGUACAAUCGAAGUCCAACUUACUGGCAACAGGAUAAUGAUCUCCACUCGGGGAUACCAAAACUGCCCCAACUCCAUUACCCGUAGCAUUCGAAGCUCCAUCAAAAUUUAACUUCCAUACGUGAUCCAUUUGAGGAUUUUCUUCAGUAUUCGCCACAUACAUCAAGUCCUCGUUUGGAAAAUCGAAAUUCAAAGAUUCAUAGUCCUCCAAGGCUCUACUAGCUAGGAAAUCGGCUAUUGCACUUCCCUUUAUGGCCUUCUGACUGACAUAUACUAUAUCAAAUUCUGAGAGCAAGAUCUGCCAUCUAGCCAUUCUCCCGUUCAAAGCGGUCGAUUCCAUCAUAUAUUUUAAAGGAUCUAACUUUGAAAUCAGCCAAGUCGUGUGAUACAACAUAUACUGCCUCAGUCUUCGGGUUGCCCAGAUUAGAGCACAACACAACUUCUCAAUUGAUGAGUACCUCAUUUCGCAAUCGGUAAAUUUCUUACUGAGAUAGUAUAUUGCCCUUUCUUUCUUUCCCGUCUCAUCAUGUUGGCCCAAUACGCAUCCCAUGGAAUUCUCCAACACUGUUAGAUACAAUAUCAAUGGCCUAUCUGGACUUGGAGGUGAUAAGACUGGAGUAUUAGCCAAGUACUGCUUUAUCUUAUCGAAAGCCCUCUGACACUCUUCAUCCCAAUUGCCCGGAUUAUGUUUCUUUAAGAGCCGGAAUACUGGAUCACAUUUCUCUGUCAGUUGUGAGAUGAACCGAGCGAUGUAAUUCAGCCUCCCUAGGAAACCUCGAACCUCCCUCUGAGUGCGCGGGGGAGGUAAAUCUCGUAUUGCCUUUACUUUGUCUGGGUCAACCUCGAUCCCCUUUUUGCUAACUAUGAAGCCUAAUAACUUCCCUGAUCUGGCCCCGAACGUGCAUUUGGCCGGGUUAAGCUUGAGCUGAAAUUUCUUUAAUCUCAAAAAUAACCUUUUCAAAACCUGAACAUGCUCUUCUUCCGUUCUAGACUUCGCGAUCAUAUCGUCAACAUAGACUUCGAUCUCCUUGUGCAUCAUGUCGUGAAACAAAGUCACCAUAGCUCUUUGAUACGUUGCUCCCGCAUUCUUCAAUCCGAAGGGCAUUACCUUGUAACAAAAUGUUCCCCAUAAGGUAAUGAAUGUGGUUUUCCUCAUGUCUCCGGGAUGCAUCUUUAUUUGAUUGUAUCCAGAGAAACCGUCCAUGAAAGAAAACAAUGAAUAGCCCGCCGUGUUAUCUACCAAAGUAUCAAUGUGAGGCAGUGGAAAGUUGUCCUUUGGACUAGCCUUGUUUAAAUCCCUAUAAUCCACACACAUUCGUACCUUUCCAUCUUUUUUGGGAACAGGGACGAUGUUGGCUACCCAAUCCGAAUACUUGACCUCUUGUAAGAAACCAGCGUCGAAUUGUCUUUUGACUUCUUCUCUUAUUUUUAACACAAUGUCAGGUCUCAUUCUCCUAAGCUUCUGUUGAACGGGUUUACAAUCCUCCUUUAUGGGUAGACGAUGUACCACAAUGUUAGUAUUUAGCCCAGGCAUAUCUUGGUACGACCACGCGAAAACAUCCUUGAACUCUCGGAGCAAAUUGAUGAGGUCUUGCCUUGUCUUUGCGGUAAUUUCAGUUCCAAUUUUCACCUCCUUUCCAUCCUCUAGGCUCACUAUUUCUAACGAUUCCUUAUGAGGUAGGAUAUGCUUAUCCUCUUGUUCCAUCAUUCUUAACAAGUCCGGAGAUGCAUCAUAAUCUUCGUCAUUUUCAAAGUCGUGGAAUCUCUCUGAACACACUUCUUGCUCAAAAAUAGGCUCCGCGUUUGAGACAGCAUCACUCAUGUCAUUGAUAUCUGAAGACCUAUGUGGGCAGAUCAAAUAAUAUACCAAGAAUAUAAAUUUAUGAAUAUGUUUGUGCAAAAGAAUCACAAAUGAAAGAAUUGUUUGUAAGACAAUCAACCAAAUAAAAAAUAUGAAAGGAAAAAAAAGUGACUGAUCGAGAUGAACGUAGACACGUAUUUUAUUAAAAUAAUGAUAUUUAGGCCCAAUGCCUAUUUCACAAAAAAUUUCGUAUCGUUUCUAGGCCAACAAACAACAGGAAUGUUUUGAGCAUUACUCUGAAUAAGCCCUAAAGACUACAGGGAUUUCUUCAGCAGUCCAAUUGUUUAGCUCGCUUCCAGGCUCAUAAGGGCGGAUCUCCAACAAAGCCCUCCUUUCCGUUGCUUCUAUGGUGUUAAUAUAAACGUUUUCCAACAUUCCUCCCAUGCCGCUACCGGACACCCCACAUUCAGAAUGAAUAAAUCCUCCCGACACAAAAGAUGAAGAUAUGUGGGGAAAGGUUAAAGGCUCACACUUAGCUUCAUGUCCAUUCAAACGCGCCCUUCUUCUCGCUUGUCUCUUCUCUACUUCUUUCUUCUUCUGCUUCAUGUCUGGCUUGUACCCUAAACCAAAUCUAUCAAACUUUUCCCUCGGCAUUGGUGCCUCAAUCCUCCCCUGAAGAUAUUUUCCCAAUCCUUUCCCGGGUAAGGCUCCUCUUCCUACCAUCAAUCGCAAUCCCAUCUCAGUGGUCCUGGACACUUUCGGUACUGGAAUCCUAUUUCCCUCCGCAAUAAACAUCGCGUUCACAAAUUCUAACGACCGAAAAGAACAUUCCAGUGCCUCAUCGUUGAUGUCCACAUAAGGUGCCUCGCUAGUCAUCAUUGCGAUAAUAUCCUCCUCUGCAUCUAUUGUUACCAACCGAUCCUCCGAUACCAACUUCACCUUCUGAUGUAAUGAUGAAGGUACCGCUCCUGCUGAGUGUAUCCACGGUCUCCCCAAUAGACAGUUGUAGGAGGGUUUAAUAUCCAUUACCAAGAAAUCCACCUCAUAAGUGACUGGGCCAAUCCUUAAUGGUACUUCAAUUCUCCCCAUAACCUCCUUUUUUGUUCCAUCAAAUGCCCUUACUAUGCUCUGGCAUGCUUUCAUGUGCGAACUGUCUAUUGGUAAUCGACUAAGAGUGGACAAAGGCAAUACAUUUAGUGCAGAUCCAUUAUCGACCAAGGCCCCCGGGAGUGUGUACCCUUUGCAUCGGACAGUAACGUGGAGGGCUUUAGUAGAACCUCUUCCUCCGGAUGGUAUUUCAUCAUCAUUGAAGAAGAUAAAAUUGUCAGCACCAAUAUUGUUGAUCAACCGAUCCAACUUGUUUACUGAAAUAUCGUCAGCCACAUAUGUUUCGUUUAGCACCUUUAAGAGUGCAUUCCGAUGUACUUCUGAGUUUAAGAGUAAAGCUAAUACCGAAAUGCGGGCUGGCUGUUUGUGCAGUUGCUCCACAACACUGUAUUCGCUGUGUUUCAAAAACUUCAAAAACUCCUUCGCCUCUUCUUCUUUUAUUGGUUCAUUUACCAAUGGUUCAACUUCUACUGCCUUCCCUUUCCUCUGUUCUUUCUUCCAAUUCUCUUCCCUGGACGACUCUGCUUGAGCGUCAUAUCUUUUUCCCUUGCGCGUGUAAAAAACUGUUUCCUGAUUUCUUUCUGCUUCUUUUCCCAAAAUGGUCACAUUACACCCGUAAUUCCACGGCACCAUUUUGUUAUCUUUAUAAGAGAAAUUUGAUGGUUUCUGGAUUACAAUUUUCGGCGUUACCUGAGCCCUAACCUCAUUACCCUUAGGGCGGGAGAUAAUGACCACAGGAUGAUUUAUUUUUGGAGCCUUUGUUCCCAACUCUGUCGCGCAUAUGCUCCUCAUUUCUUUCACAUCUUCAUAAAACCUCAUCACCUUGUUAUCCAUCAUGCUUUGAACCAAGGCCUUGAAUCCUUCACAUUCUUGGAUUUCAUGCCCUGUUUCAUGGUGAAAUUCACAAUAAUUUCCCAUCUCAUGCCCUUUCUCAGAAUCUGAAAUAACCAAACCUCUUUUCGCCAUUUCUUUCCAGACCCAUUUCAAUGGAGUUUUUACUUCAGCAAUGUCAGUCUUGACUUCUUCUCCCGUACCUUCGCUAACCAUAUUCACCCCCUUAUCUGCGUGAUUAGGUAACGGAUUCUUUGCGUUAGGUGAGUCGUCAAGUUUGACAACACCUAAAUUGAUAAGUCCUUCUACUACCUUCUUGAAGGCAGUACAAUUUUCUAUCGAGUGCCCAGAAAUUCCCGCAUGAUAAUCACAUUGCGCGUUCGUAUCAUACCAUUUUGGAUACGGGGGUUGUAGAGGACUCAAGUAACGAGGAGCAACAACAUGUGCAUCGAAUAAAGUCUGAUACAACUCCUUGUAUGACAUCGGGAUUGGCGUGAAUUGGGGCUUUUCAGUAGUUUGCCUAGCUCCUGACUCUUGUCUUGAUGAUCCCUGUUGAUUAGCAACCACCUUCUUUGGUUGAUUCACGGUAAUUGACCUACCAUAAGCAUUCACAUUAUUCACUUCAUUUUCUCUUUUCCUCGGGGGUGCCCUCCUAUUAUUUUCUCCUCCAUCUAUUUUUCCACUUUUAAUGGCAUGCUCAAUCAUUUCACCAUUCAUGAUUAUAUCUGAGAAAUUUCUUGAAGCGCUUCCCAACAUGUGAGUGAUGAACGGGGCUUUCAAAGUAUUAAUAAAAAGCGUCGUCAUCUCUUUUUCCAAAAGCGGUGGUUGCACCUGAACCGCCACCUCUCGCCACCUCUGCGCAUAUUGUCUGAAGCUUUCGUUCGAUUUCUUCUCUAAAUUUUGCAGAGUUAUCCUGUCAGGCAUCAUUUCUGAGACAUGAUUGUAUUGUCUCAAGAAAGCCUGUGCUAAAUCCCUCCAAGUAGCAAUUUUAGCUCGGCUCAGCUGAUUGUACCACUUUGACGCCGCUCCCGUAAGACUUUCCUGAAAGCAAUGUAUUAAUAAUUGAUCAUUAUUAAUAUGCCCCGUCAUUCUUCUACAAAACAUAGUAAUAUGGGAUCCUGGGCAACUAGUCCCGUUGUAUUUCUCGAAUUCCGGCAUCUUAAAUUUGUAAGGGAGCACCAAGUCCGGAACCAAGCUCAGAUCCUUUGCAUCUGUUCCAUAGCUUUCGAUGCUUUCUAUUGCCCUAAACUUCUCUUCUAUCCAUUUCCAUUUCUCCUCAAAUUGUUUUGGAAAUUCCUCCUUCGCCUUGUCCUUUUCAACCAUCUCGUCAAGAUCUGGGACCGCAAUAUUAUUCGGGCCAUCACCGGGAUUAAAGCCCGCUCCGGGUUGAAAAUUCAUUGGGAUUGAAGCAUCGCCUUGGAACUGCUGGGGUCUAACCGACACGGAGGGUCUCCGCGAAUGCAGCUCAGUCUGUACUUGCGCAUGCGGAGGCGUGAAACCUGGAGGAUAAAGUGGUUCACCAUUGUUUUCUUCUUCACUAACAAUCACAGGCCCUUUACCCUUAUCUACUCCCUUCAAUAAUUGCGUCAUCUUAGCCACCAGAUCAUUUUGGGACUCCUCCAUCUUUUGUACCAUGUCACGCUGAAUCUUUUCUAUUUGCUCUUUCAUUUACGCCUGCAACUGGUCUUGCAUUUCUUUUUGAAGUCGCUCUAGCUUCUCCAACCUUUGGUCCAUAAUUUUUGUCUUUGCUCGGGUGCCGUAACUUUGUUGGUUUUCCAGGUUAACUGAAAUGAUUUUAUUCGAUUAGGUUUUUUUUAAUGGUCAUUAAUGCAUAUGAUGUGAUGCAAUGCAUGAAAGAGAAUGCAAAGAAAAAGAGGCACUGAUUUUAAUUCAACUUCAUUAGAAAACUUUACUAGAUAAAGAGUUUCUUUACAUAAAAUAGACUACAUAUAUGGCUUUGCCCUCACACUCAAAGCCUUAACCUUUCUAAGAAGCCAAGCUAAUUCUCGGCCCCUGUCCGACUCUGACUCAUACUUCAAACUUAAUAGAUCAGCCUGAACCGCUAGAGUUUGCAGAUGAUCAGCCACUUCGCGCACCUGAGUCACCGCCUCUCCCAUAAUAUAAUCUCUUUCUCCAAUCUGCUCUUGAGACCGACGGAAUUGUCCUUGCCACUGCUCAUUACUUUCUUCUAGAAGCUCUAUCCGGAUUUCACUAUUUUGCAAUGCAUUCUCUAGCCCCCCUAUCUGUGUUUUUAAAUCUUUAAUUUUGUCUAAGCUCGCCCUUAAUUCAACCGUAGUAUUACGAUUACAGUACUGGCGAAGCGAUCUUUCCAGUUCUGUUAUCCGGACCUUCAACUCUGUCUUCUCGUCUUGGCAAACUAGUAGACUCUUUCCCAAGGCGGCUUCUCGAGCCCGAGCAUCCUGAAAUUUCUUUUCCCAUUGAUUAGCUUUCGUCUUUUCCUCCUGAAUUUCUUGUCGCCAUUGUUCUGGUGUUUUACCCAAGCCAGCGGCUCUUACUGACUUACGCAACUUCUUGUAAUCUGUCUUCAGGCUGUCCAAAUCUUCUUCUGCCUUGUUCUUUCCUUUCCUCAAUUUGUUGGCCUCUAAUCUUUGAAUGUCCACAUCCAGUCCUAACUGCAUUUUUUCUUCCUCAAGUUGUUCUAUCUUCUUCCCCAAUUCUAAACUUCUUUUUUCGAAUUCUUGUUUGAUGAUUUCUAUCUCAGAAGGCAAGACUUGUAAGUGUUCCUCUAAAGAUCGAGCCGUUUCUGAAUUUGACGCCGGGAUGUUGUCGUUGAUCCUUUGAUUACGCCACUGACCAUACUCGGGGGUAAUUGUCGGACCCACAGCUAAGAUCUUCAUUCGACGAGUCUGGUUCCAGGCACUAGAUAUUUCUCGAACCUUUUUCUUGUAAUUGUCCUCCCUAUAGGAAAAAUCACUAUAAGCCAACCCCUGGGUUACUGGUAUGAAUUGUCGUGAUCUAUACUGUCUUGACACGAGUAGAGGAGCAUAUCCAAUAGCUCCCCAUAUCCCGAGCAGCGGAACCCAGUCAAAAUCUCCACAUCGGUACAAUAUCUCAUCAGGAAUUAACCAAGGAGCCCUCCAUUCAAUAUCUUCAUCUUGGAGAUUCUGGAGUAUCUCUAUCCAUUUUUCUUCUGAAAUAUCAUCCCGUCUUGGCGUGGCCACCAAUUCUCCUAGAGGGGAGUAGCUAUCGGAGAAUACCCGGUAAGAGACCUUUUCGACUUUCCAGAAGUGGCUAUGGAACCAUGCCAAUAAGAGCUGCGCGCAUCCAAUAAACCUUCCCUCCCCUGCUUUUCGACACGCAUUCAAAGAUCUAAAAGUUUCAGCGAGUAUUGCCGGAACCGGUGUAACCCCUUUACCAAGCCGAUCGAACAAAUCAGAUACAGCCUCGUCUAUGUGUCCUAAAGCUUUGGGGAAAACCACUAGUCCAUAGAUACCUAAAGCGAAGACAUCGACCCUUUUCUUUAAGUCAGGAUGUACAAGCACCAAAUCUCGUAAACUUUUCCAAGGAACACAUUUACUGUCGCCCUUCUGUUGGAUCCGGGCAGCGACCCACUGCUCGCUCAUUCCAGUGAUGUUCAUUAAUUUCUUUAACAACGGAGGGACACAAGCAGCUCUGGAAUAAGCCUUGUCGACUUGAAUCUUUGGGCACCGAAGUAAGGUCGUAUACUCCUCUACCGUAGGCGUCAAAUCUACCUUCCCAAAAGUGAAACAACUGUAGGCAGGAUUCCAAAACUGAGCAAGGGCUCGGAAUAAAUACUUGUCCACUUUGACACUGAGCAGAUAAGGUAGGUCACCAUAGUUACAAUAGAACAGCUCCUUGGCCUCGACAUCCCAUUGAUCCCAGACUUCUUUCAUUUCUCGAAGGUCAUUCUGGAUUACACUGAUACGGGUAAAAUCCCACAAUUCUGACACGUACCCUUCGGUAAGACUAUCGCCUUUCUCCCGUUGCGUCGUUUCAGCCCAUAUUCGCACAGCCGCAUUAUCCUCUACUUUAUCAACAAACCCCUUUUCCAUGAUAAGCUUUCUACUAAGAAACUGAACGUAAAUCGACACCUCUUUUAGGAUGAAGAUGCCAUGCAAUCACAAGCAAAGUAAAUUAGCAUUAAACACAGCAUAAGAUUUAAAAUAAACGACAAAUAAAUACAACAUUCAUUUAGGUAGGCACUAAAAUUUUAGAGUAGCUCUACCUAAGUCGGUUCCUAUGGCUCAUUACAUGUGGUUUGGUUCUAAAGUAGGGUACCUGAACCAGCAAAUUCCUCGAUCCUCACCCAUUAUAGGCUCAUACGGACCAAGUUCGAUUCAGGGGGAUACAUUUCCCUAUGGCCAUGCGGAGAUGAAAAUCUCACGAAGACAUAGGUACGGAUAUAUCCCGAAAGCGAUUCACUAUCCCAUGCGGAGGUGAAAACCUCACGAAGGCGUAGCUCCUCACUCCCACUUAAAAAGGUGUGACCAACGGUCAUGCAAUGCAAUGCGCAGAGGUAUAAGAUAAAAUACAGAACACGACCAAAAUAUAACUCAAAACAAAAGAGAUGCAGUGAGAGGAUCGUAAAUUUCAAUCGAAUUUUCAACUUUCGACAAAAAGACAAGAAAUAAUCAACACGUGGCUUGACUCUCUUAUGGUGUCCCCAGCGGAGUCGCCAAGCUGUUGACACCAUUUUUUUGAUGAAAACGGGGUCGACUUGGAUUUUGAAAAUGAAAACGGGAGUCGCCACCAAUCUUUUAUUAAGGUGUGAUUGGAUCACCUCGAAAAGCGGUCGUUUUUUAAUAAACGGUUUGAUUUUAUUAAAACAACAAGUUUGGUCCGCGAAAUUCAGAAAACGGGUUCGGGAGUCGGUUACGCACGAGGAAGGAUUAGCACCCUCGAUACGCCCAAAAUUGGUACCUUAGUUGAUUACUUAAUGUCUUAAUGUCAAAAAUUGAAAACUUAGAAGAAUUAAAAAAAAUACGAUCCUUGUAUUAAAACGUUGAAAAUUUUCAGGAAAAUGGGCAUAUUUCACAUUAUUCGAGAAAGAGAAUCAUAUCCAGUAAGUUAGAAUACAAUGUCUCAAAUUCCCAAUACGUAAAUGAAUGCCAGAAUUUUACUUAUUUAAAAGAUAUUUUAUUAUCUCGGGUUUAGGAAAGGGAUCAUGCCCAGUAAGUUAGGACACGAUCUUUUCUUAAUUCCCGAGAUCGUUUCAAAACUUGAGUUUGAAAAGAUCAGUGUGUUUAGAUUUAUUGUGGAAAUCGAAACCCAGUAAGUUAGGGUACGAUCCUCUCGAAUCUAAACAAAAAAUAUCACUUUUUUUAAACAAAUUUUAUUAUCGAGUAAAAUAAAAACAUGAAGUCGUAGUAAAAAAUGUGAAAGCAAAUUACAUUGUUAUACAUGACAAAAUCAUAAUGAAUACAAAAGUGUAAAAAUGAUACGAGCGAUAGCAACAAUAUAAAAUAAAUAAAAGUCAAACCCACAAUCAUAUAAAAUAACAAUAUAUAUAAACAAAUAAAUUAAACAUUCGUUCAAAAUAAUAAUGAAAAUGAAAUAAAUAAAUAAUGAAUACAAUCAAAAUUCAAAGGGAUAUAUAUAUUUAUGUGUAUAGACAAAAGAAAAUAUAAUAUGUGUGUAUUCAUAAAUUACAAUGUAUAUAUGUAAAGUAUACUUUAAAAUAUAAAAAAUAUGCAUAUAGAUAAAAAUAUGUACACAUAUAUAUAGAUGUAUAAAAUUAUGGAAUAUGAAAAUAAUGAAAUGCAUAUAUAAAGUAGGCGCAUGAAAAUAUGUAUGUACAAAUUAGAAUUUAAAAAUAAUGAAAAUAUACCGACGUAUACAAAUAAGUACGUUAAUUUAUAUAUAUAUAUGUUUAAAAUAUAUUGAAAAUAUGUAUGUAUAUGUCUAUGCAAAUUAAGAUAUACAAAAACAUAUAAAUAUAUACAUAAAUAUAUAUAUACUUAUAAAAAUAAAAAUAUGUAUGUGUAUAGAUAUAUAUAAAAAGAAAUAUGAGUAUACGUAUAUAUAUUAAACAAAUUAUAUGUAAAAUAUGUACAUGUACAUAUACAAGCACUUAUAUGAUAAUAAAAAAAUAUAUAUAUUUGAAAAUACAUAAGUAUAUAUGAAUAGAGAUGUAAAAGUAACAACAAUAAUACCAAUACUAAUAAUAGUAAAGAUGAUAAUAAUAAUAAUAAUAAUAAUAAUAAUGAAGUUAACAAAAAUUGACUAAAUAAUAAAAUAUGCUAAAAAGGGGCCUUAAAUCGAAAUGAAAUAGAACAUAUAGGGCCAAUUCGAAAUAAAGGAAAACGAAAGGGAUCCAAUUGCGACGCGCGUAAAAAAGGGAAGGACCGAAACAGAAAAUAAACCCAAAAUCCCAAAACGCAGCACCUCAAUGGACUAAAAUAAAACAAAAAUAAAAUGUUAGGGCUAAAUCAAAAUAAAAUAAAACAACAAAAUAGGACCAAAUUGAAACACGCCGCGAAUCAGAGGGACUGCGCGCAUAAAUAGCCCAAAAAUUAAAAACACGCGGAUCCUUCGGGUCGGGUCGGGUCGACGCGCGGAUCCCCUUUGCUAAAACGGCGUCGUUUCAUUUUGAAUAUAAAUAAUAGAAAAAAACAAAAAAAACAAAUCAGAUUCAUUUUUUAGAAAAAAAAGCUGAGAGGGAGAGUCUCUCUCUCAUUCUUUCAGGCCCGGCGUUGGUCAUCGGCCGAACUAGGCCUCCGGCGAUUCUCCGCCCUAGCGCCGCCGCGUAUGGUGGCCGGAGUAUCCCAAAAAUCGGAUUUUUUCAUCCUUUUCGAAGUUAAGUGCGUCUUAAGCACGAAUCGAAGGGUUAAAUCCGAAAAAGGAGGUCCGAAACUUGAAGAACGAGGAGAGACCACUCGCCCUUCCCCUUUCGACGUAGCACAGGUAACCCCUAUUCCUAUUUUGUUUUGUUAAAAGAGUUGUAGAAAAUAAAAAAAAUAAUAGAAGACAGGAAAUAAAACGCAAGAAUCUGAGAAAAAAAUCUGAAAUCCACCUUUUCUUUCGCUUUUUUAUCUUCUUAUUAUUCACUGAUUGUUGUUAAUUCCUUGUUUGAUACCCAAAAUCCCCCAAGCCCCCUUUUACAUAUUAAAUCUGGCUUUUUAUAGCCGAAAGAAAGAAAAAAAAUUUGUCUUCGUUUCUGCUUGCGUGUUUGUUUCUCUUUGCAGGUGGAGCGGGUGGAGCAGGUGAGCAGCGAUGGGACGUGCGGCGGCCAGCAAGUGAACGGCGGAGUUGGUGGGUCUGCUGGUAUGGGUUCUUUUGCUUCUUUCUUGGGCCCGGGCAAAUGGGCCUGCAACAGUUACCAAAAUAUAAAUUUUAGAAUUUUUAUAAAUAUUUAGGUUUUUAAAAAUUAUUUUAAUUUUUUUUUGGAAAUUAUUAAACUUUUUUUGUUGGAAGACCAAUUUGAUCAUUUUCAAAAUUGAGCACGGAUCAAAGAGAUCUUAACUCUUAUUUGUUAUUUGAGUUAUUCAAAUUAUAAAGUUCAACUCGACUAGAACUUGAAACUUAAAUUAAUUAUUCGAGUUGACUCGAAAAAAUUAAAUAAUUUGAAUAACUCGAUUAAAUUAACUCAAAAUAAUAAUAAUAAAACAAUUUUUCAAAUUAAAUUAAAUUUUACUCACCUUUAAACUUCUCCGAUCUGCGGUAUAAUAUCUCUAAGCUUAAGCACCUUCUUCCAAGCCCAACUAUGUCAUUGCUUAACUUGUACCUGCCAAACAGAAUCUCCUUUCACAAUAUACUGCUCAACCCAUGCAACCUACAAGGAUUUUGACUUCACCUAAAUUAGCCUAAGACACCUCAUCAUGCAGGCUUUAUCCCAACUAGCCAAAUCCUUAACUCCAAGUCCUCCUUCUGCCUUAGGAUGACAAAAAUUCUGCCAACUGACCGAGAAUGACUUCCGCAAGGAUUUUGCCUCACCAAAAAUUAUAUCAUUCCCCUUUCAAAGAAAAGAAUUACAGAAUUGUGUAACUUUCUUAAUGACUUAAAAAAGGAAGAAUGAAGAGUCUACACCAAAAAUUUUGCAGACCGAAAACCACUUAUUGGAGAAGCUGAAGUCUAACAUCUUCGAAUAUGCUUAGUAAUCUUAUCCACCAAAACAUCACAAUCAUAAUUCUUCAAACUCCUUGAUGAGUCACUAAACUAACUAAAAUUACGACAAAGGCAAACGCACUUAUCGAAUAAUAAUAUAGCUAUGGUGAAUUGAGAAUAUCGUAUCCAUGAGAACUAAAAGUACUAGUACUUACUAUUUUUCUAUUAUGUAACUGAUAAAUUGAAGAAAUUGUUUUUAAUCUAAAAUUAACUAAACUAAUUAUUAAGAACACAACAAAAAAUGAAUCAAGAAAAUAAUCGAAUAAAACCAAUGAGAUAGACAAUACCCAGGAAAAAAUCCACCUAGACUUCACUUAUUAUUCUGAAUCUGAAUUAAAUGAUUUAUUCACUUGUAACUUGAUCCGUAGAAAUCUCUAAAUUAUGUUAAUAUCUCUUUCAAGAGUAAAAACAAUUGACUAUAGGUUGAUUAAUUAAAAUUUCUUUCUAAUUAAAACCCCUAUUGUCGCAUUAACUCAAUUUAUGGAUUGCCCUAUUAGAUUUGACUCUAAUAUAGUAGAUUUAUGUCGUCCUAUUUUUAGGAUUGCAUGCAACUCCACUCAAUUAUGCUAGAUUUACUUUGAAACAGGGGCUUUUGCUCCAUUGAAAUAUGCACAUUAAGCAUAAUUAAAAUCCUGAAAAUAUUAAAACACGAAUUAAGUAUACAUAAUUGAGAACAAGAAUCAAAUAUUUAUCAUGUAAUUUAGAAAUUAAAUAAUAAGAUUCAUAUAGGUUUCAUCUUCCCUAGGUAUAUAGGGAAUUUAGUUCAUAAUUUGGAAUAACAUCAUCUCAAAGUUAGGAAAACAAUAAGACAUAAAGAAACCCAAUAAAAUUUUUGAAGAAAUUGAAUGGAGAUCCGCUUCUGAAAUGAAUCUAAUGGCGUUCUUCGAGUCUUUUCUUCAUUCUCCUCUACAUGUUCCCCUAGGUCUUCUUCUAAUAUGUAUUUAUAAACUUUAGAAUGCUCGGAAACCCUAAAAAUUGAGUUUUUCCGCGUAACAGGGAAGUAGGGUGCGAAAUCGACACGGGCUAGCACAUGAGCGUGUGGUCAGCCCGUAUGGCUCACAGGGGCGUGUGGCCAACCCGUGUGGAAAUGCUCAGGCCGUGUGGAUCCUGAAAACAACUUUUUUUGCCUGAUUUGGGCUCUUUUUUUGCUCCUUUCGCUCCCUUAUGCUCACCUAAGUAUAGAAACAUGAAUUUAAAGGAUUAGGAGCAUCAAAUUCACUAAUUCACAUAAUAAAUCAUCCAAAAACGCAAGAAUGAGAUUAAAAACAUGUUACUUUUAUGGCUUAUCACUCCUCCUCACUAAAGGCAUGCACAAAUACCCGACUGGCAAUUUCUUAAGUUGAUUGAGUCAAAUUAUUGAAAGAAAACACUACUAUCAAGGAAUUAAAAUAUCCAUUAUAAAAAGUAAUUAGUGAAUAGUUUUGAAAAAUUAAAUAAAUAAAUUUCUUAAGUGCAUUAUUUGCAAAUAUUAACCUUUUGGAAAUUGAUAAAUAUUAAUAACGUGUCAAUAUAAUUGUAAACUAUAUUCUUGGUGAUAAUUAUGUCAUGUUCUUAUUAUGUAAAUUCAUGAUAUUAUGUCGCUUUUAGACCUGUCCAUGGGUCGAGCCCGGAAAAAAAUUUCGGCCCGACUCUUAGGCCCGGGCCCGGCCCGGCCCAAAAUAUGGGCUUAAAAUUUUGCCCGGGCCCGGCCCGGGAAAAAAAUAAGCCCGAGCCCAGCCCGGCCCGACCCGUUUUUUAAUAAACACAAAAAAAAAUUUAAAAAUAAAAAAAUAAAAAUAUUUUUAAAGUAUUUUAAAAUUAAAAAAUAAAAAUAAAAAAUAUUUAUUUAUUAUAUUUGGGCCGGGCCGGGCCUGGGCCAAAAAAGUUGAGCCCGAGCCCGGCCUAUUUUUUAAACGGGCCUCGUUUUUUUGCCCAAGCCCAUAUUUCGGGCCUAUAUUUUUACCCAAACCCUCCCAUAUUUCGGGCGGGCCGUCGGGCCGGGCCGCAUGGACAGGUCUAGUCGCUUUGAAUAAAUUUGUCAAAUAGCAUAUUUCAAUUAAUAUGAAGUAGCAUAAGAAAUCAUUUUACACAAGUAAAUUGAAAAUAAGUUAAAAGUGCAUAAAUAUUCAAGCAGUAGACACAUAUCCAAACAAGUAAAAACAAAAAUUUAAGAAACACGACAUUGUCGUCUAGCUGCCAUCAAAUUAGUAGUGAUGUCAUUACAAACUUUUGUCAUUUCAUUAGUACUCAUACACUAAACUUCUUGAGUAGAGUUUUUUGUAUAUUGAAAAUAUCUCCCGACAAUGUUGAUUUUUGUAGAUUCACAGUGGAGGGUGUCUUUUUUUGUUUUUUUAGAUUUACUUUGGGCUUUUGAGAUGAAAGUGAAAAUGGGAUAAUGAAGGCUACUGAUAUCUUGGCACCCCUGUUAGGUUUGAUAGCAUGCGGCAAAGGGAGUAAAUUUUUAGCAAGCAUAGUCAGAUAUGUCAUUCCGCAUAUCUCAUUCUCAAUCAAGUGUUAGUAAAAGUUGUCCAUUGCUAUGUAAAAUUUUUAGACCAAUAGUCUGAACAUCUAAAGAUUAAAGCCAAUGAGGUAUAAACAAGUGAUUUUGCGAAAACAAACUAAGAGAAAUCAAGUUUCUCGCUAAAUCUCAACAUUAAUUGUAAAAAGAUGUGAUAUUGUUUUGUGGUAGAUGCAUUAAUCUUUAGAUGUUUUAUUAGUCCGCCAAUUCAUAAAAGUUUGGCAUGCUCUAAUAAUUGCUCUUACAGAUUUAUAUGAAUCACUAUAUAUUAAAGUUUAAAUAAAAAUCCUUCAAGGAUUUAGAAUGUUGGAAACAUAUAGAAUGAUCUAACAUGCACAUAUAUAGAAGGAUUAUGAUCAAAGUUUUUUUAUGAUUAUUGUUAAACUCUUGGAGAUAUCAAAAUAUAUUCUCCAGAAUUUUUAGUUACCUAUAACUUUCAAAAAAAAUGAUGAUAUAAACGUUUAUCAAAUCUAUUUAAGUGAUUAUUUGAAAACUUAAUAUUCAAGAUUGAAAUAUGUAGAAUAUGAUAAAUUACGUGACGUUGUCAUUAAGGGGUAAAUAUGCGCUGUAUUUUUUUUCUCUUAACUAAGGUUUUGUCCAACUGAAUUUUCUUAGUAAGGUUUUUAAUGAGGUAAUAAGAUAUGUGUAUUAUAAAUAAGUGUACUCUUUUUCCAUCACUAAGAUUGUUUUUCUCAUAGGGUUUUUAUCUCAGUAAGCUUUUAAUGAGGUAUAUUAUCUACUAAUGGAUAUUUAAGAGGGAGUGUUGUAGAUAUCCAUCAAGAUCAAGAUAAGUUUGAUGAAUUUUAGGACUCAUACCUAUAAAUAUAGACUUUGGAGAGUAUUGUAAACAACCCAAUUGAUCAAUAAAAAUAGGGGUGAAGUCAGGAAAUUUUUUGAUGGGGGUCGGAAUUAAAUUAUAUAUUUUUAAAAUAUCAAAAAUGAAAUUUCAUCAUUUUACUACGGGUAUCAUUUAAUAUUAGGUAGUCAAUGCUUUUAUCUUAUCGUCACACUUGCUUUUGAGGUUGGGUUGAUUUGAUAUUCAUGACUAAAUUUAUGAGAUUUUUUUAUCAAUCCUUUUUUGUUUUGUUUCGAAAUUCCCGUAUUAUUUAAUACUAUACACCACUUUCAUCCUUCAAUUAUUGUGGUGAACCAAUGACGUCGAAAAUAGUAAAUAAGCACAACCGGAACUGUAAUUAACAUUUAAUCAUUUGAUUAAAAGUGUGUCUUACAUUGUGUGCUUUUAGCUAAAAAAAUUGAUUUAUUUUUUUAAAUAUUUUUUAAAAAUGUUCAUUUUAUUUAAUUUAUCUGGUAAUAAUUUAAUUUUAAUUUUAAAAUUUGAAAAGUAGAUAAAUUAAAUUUUAAAAAAUAAAAAUAUAAUGAUUAAAUUUUAAAUUUAUGAAUAGUACAAUAGUGACUGUGCUUGGCAUUAAAGUGGGGGCCACUCUUUGUCGCCUCCAUUUCUCCUUCCCAAGCAAUAUAAAUAAAGAAAAAAGCCUGAUUUUGGGAGGAAAGUUUGAAUGGAAAAACAAGAUUACAAGUGAAGAAAGAUAAUGGUUGAGGAAGUGGGAGAGCAUUUGAUAUUUUGAGGCAAAGGCUCGCUUAUAGUAAAGAUCCCGACGGCGGUGGCUAGGGCCAAGGAAGAAAGAAAAAAUAAUCUAUCAUUCCUUUACAAGAUAAAUAUAUAAUUUUUUUAAUACUUACUCUAAUUCAUUAUUCAUCAUGUGAAAAAUAAAUUCUUUUAUUAAAAUAGUAUUUAAAAAAUUUCAACUUAAUCUAAAUAUUAACUAUUUGAACUAACUAAUAAUAUUAUAAAUCAACCUCAACACUAGACUAUUGAAAGCAUUCCCGUCAUCUCCAACACAACGACCACAUAUAUCCGCAAGGAUACCUUCCGGCAAUGACAGUAGUCUAGAAGAUUGGUUUUCAAAUGUUAUUUCUUGUUUCAUUUUUCACAUGUGCUAACACGAACAUGUUUACACUACUCGCUCUUAGAAGAGAAACUUGAAAAGAAAUUAUUUUUAAAAAUAAUUUCUUGUGAAAGAGGCUGUUUUCAUUUUUCUAGGAACAAGGAAGAAAACAGUAAACAGACUUAUCAGAUAAAAUUAUGUUUCAUAGUCAAGAUUGAUGUCCUUUGAAAACAUCCCAAAAUUGUUCAAGAUUACACAUGCUAGUGAAUGCUUUUAUUCAAGAUUGCACAUGCUGCUCAUGGUGGGUUGAUUUGAUAUUUAUGAGAUUUAUUUAAAUCAAUUUUGUUUACAGUUUCAGCCUUCAAUUAUUGUAGUGAACCAAUCAUGUCAAAAAUAUUAAAUAAGCACAAUACAACAAGGACUUUAAACAACUCUACCCAACUUUCAGCGAAUACAUACAAGAGCGAUUAGUGAGUUGUCGGGAAAAGUUUGGCUAUCUUUUUACACAAGAUAGGCAGUGGAGUAUUAGGGGUUAGCAGGACUCGCUCUCUUCAAAAUGGAAAGUUGUUUAUUUUCUUAAAAUUUUAAAUUAAUAAUUUGAUGAUAUUUCAGUAAGUUUUUUUAUGUUAUUGACAUAUAAUUUUAGUAAUUUUUUUAGUCUAAACUCUGAACUUUGAAAUCGAACCUCAAACUAUUAACCAUUAAUUAUGAGGUUCGAGACUUAGGGUUCGGGGUUCGAAGUUCAAAUUUAGAGUUCGAGGUUUGGGCUCAGGAUUUGGGGUUCAAGAUAAAAAAUUACCAUAAUUAUUAUGUGUCAAUGACAUAAAAAAAUUUACUGACAUGUCAUAAAAUAUUUUGUUAUGACAUGCAAAUUAUUUUGUUUGAUACAAAUUUUUUAUUGCUUUAAUAUAUGGUAUGAAUUGUUUGACCAGAAAUUAAUAUAUAUUUUUAAAAUUUUUAAUUUAUUUUACAGUUUACUAUCGAGGAGGAGUAACCAAAUUUACCAUAGGAAAGUAGGAUAUACAUUUGAAUGUAUCAUCAAAUAGAAAAGAGGUUUAACAAGUUCCCAUUCUCAUAGAAGAGGAGUAAGGAAAUCACAUACAAGAUUGCGAUAUGAGAGAGUAAAAAAGAGAUGCGAAUAUAGCCAAAACAAUAGGUGUGGGGAAUGGAAUCCCAAAGAAGAAGCUGGCAGCUGGGAUCCAUGUUUAUUGUCAUUCUUGGUUAAGCUAUUGCAGUGUUUGGGCCAUUGAUUACUGGUUUGAGCUGUUGUGAAAUUGUGUGGAUGAUGAUGACCUUUCUCGGCUUUGCAUUUUUUGUCUUAAUAUUCUUCCCUAUAAUAUAUAUUUUUUAUGGAGAAAAAAAAAACUAAUCCUUCAAUUUUAUUUGGAAUUGUAGUAAUUCCACUUUACCUGUUGCAGAAGCAGCAAUAGCUAGAUUGACGAAGCCUGUUGAAGUUUUUCUUUUCAAAAUUAUUUGCGAAGGCAAUAAUAGGGUUAAGGUAUGAUGAAGCUUCAUAAAUUCUGUAAUUAAGCUCCCAUAUCUUAUUCUAAUAAUUUUUUAAUCAAUUUCUGCAAUAAAAUUUUAAUAUGCGAAAUAUAUCAUUUAAAGACAGGUUUGUGUUUUUUUGAAAGAGACAAGUCCUUGUUACUUUGUCAAGUACAUAGAGCUGAAGCAUCCACAACAAAUACGUAAUCAAACGUUAAACAUAAUUUGAAUGUGCAGCAAAAGAGAAAAAUAACUUCAGAACAAGUAAACUCAUAUAAACAAACAAAGAGCUAUUAAGAGAAGCAUCAAUCACAUGUAAGUACAAUCAACAAUCAAACACAAAUGCAAACUACACAAGUUUCAGCUUCAGAUUAUUACAUGACAUUUAUUUAGAACAUAAAAAGUUGAAAAAAAUCAAAUUAUAAUGACAACAACAACUAACAUCACAAGUAACAAGGCAAAGAUCAAACCCUGUUUUCCAAUCUUGAGUUUUCCUGCAAAUGAAGUGGCACGUUUCAAAUAUGAUUACAUCUGAAUUGCUACAUGCCCCACUUCCACCAAUGCCGUAGAAAAUAGGGUGCUACACAAUCCCAGUAGACAAUAUAUUUGCACUCCAACUUUGAGCAUUCAAGAGCCACAUCUUCACAAGGCUUACCGCAUUUAUUACAAUCAAGAUAGUAAUACUUCUUCUUCACAAUGAUGAGUGGAUGUGGAUGAUUUGUUUCUUCAUAGAUGCUCCCGAGUUUGAGGAAUGGAUAGCUUCCAAGAACACAACCAACAUGAGCAGAAGUAUCACAUUUUGUAUAAUGAUAAAACCAACGAUUUGCAUCUCGACUUUCUUCGCAGAUAUCACAAUGAUGACUCUUUGAAUAACUAUUAUCAUCAUUAUCAGUGAGUGAAAGAAGAUGGUCAUCGCAUUUGUGACGAGCUGUAAUUGGAAGUGAAAACCAUCCAAGAUCUAGCACAAAAUUGCAGUCCUUACAACAAAAUGCCCUGUAUCCCCUUGUUGUAUCACCACAAGCAUUGCACUGACCUUCGUAGUCUCUAUAGAAAUAGAGGGGGUGAACAUGUUUCAAACAUGUUCGAGCACCAGGAGUAAGAGCAAUCACACAUCGGAGACAUUUAUUUUCCUCACAUCCAGAACAUUCAUAAGCAAAGGCAUUAGAUAUGUGCCAACAUUCUUGACACUCAAAAGCUUUGUCAGAAAUAAGGGCAAAAGGCUCUUGGCAAUGAUGAUGCCAAACAUUCUUCAUCUUAGUUAACUCGGCACACGCUUUAUGAAGAAAAAAACACAUUCUGGACAGUAAUAAAAUGGAUCCGAGAUUGGCAACAUACACCCGUUGCAACUAUUUUCAUAUCCUCCAACAAAGGGACCUAACAUUAGAUUAUGCAUAUGCUUGAAAUGCUUUAUUUUUGUAGCUUCUCCAGCAUCGUUCCUCUCAAUAACACUGAUGGAACUUUCAUGGGGCAUCUCAUCUUCAUUUUCUACUAUUUCAUAUUAAUCUUUAUCCUUCAUUGUGUUGGUGAAAAGAGGCAGCAGCAAAAUGUUAUUUGUCUUGCUUGGAUAGCAAGCCUCGAGCCUUGCUGAAGAAACAAACUCAGAAGCAAGAACAGAAACAAAUGCAAAAAUGGAAAACAAAAGGAGAGAGUAUUUUUGAAUGAAAAGAGCUGAUAUUUUUCAUUAAAAAAUCAAGAAGGCAUAAUGCCAUUACAUAUAAUAGAUAACAACAACAAAAUGAACAAGUCAUUACCUAAUGACAUACCUAACACCACUAAAUUUACAUUGGAAAUUGUUAAUCAGCUUGCUUAAGUUUCUUUGCUGAUUUUCAGUCAAUCAAUCAACAAAAAAAAAACAUCAUAAGGUUUACCAACUUAGUUCAACAUGAACUAGAUUACAAAAUAAUUAAAAAUACAAUCAAAACAUAACAAGUAGUUAGGCAACUUCAAGCUCCAGUUUCUGCACUUCAUAGCUCGACUGCUUGCUGCCACUUCUCCUUGCAUGGCCACCUUUGCAUGUCUUGCAUGGGAACUAAAUUCAACACUCCUCCUUAGUUUCCAUGCUAGAGACACCUAAUUGCCUUCUUAAUUUAAAAAAUUUAGACACAUUGAGUGCCUUUGUAAAGAUAUCAGCAAUUUGCUCUUCUGAAUUGCAAUGAACCAGCUCGAUUUCAUGAGCUUGCUCCAUCUCCCUUAUGACAUGUGGCUUGAUGUUGAAGUGUUUUGUUCUACCAUGAAAGAUAGGAUUCUUUGCAAUUGCAACAGCAGAUUUGUUGUCACAGUAAAUCUCUAUUGCCUUUUCUUGAUUUUGGUUUAAAUCAGCUAGGAUUUUUCUAAGCUAUAUGGCUUGAUUUACAGCAGAUGCAGCAGUAACAUAUUCAGCUUCUACUGUUGACUGUGCUACCAGACUUUGCUUUUUAGAACUCCAGCAAAACAUGCAUGAGCUAAGACUAAAUGCAUAUCCAGAUGUGCUCCUCAUGUCAUCACAAAAUCCAGCCCAGUCACUAUCAACAUAGCCUAUCAGCUUCAUGUUUUCAGCCCUUUUGAACAAUACACCAUGAUCAAUGGUGCCUUUGAUGUAUCUUAGCACUCUUUUAGCUGCUUGAAAGUGCUGAUCAUUGCAGCAAUUCAUGUAUCUGGAUAGCACACUAACAGCAAACAUGAUAUCAGGUCUUGUUGCAGUCAAAUACAACAGACUACCAAUGAGACUUUUGUAUAUAGUCUCGCAAAUUGGUUCACCACUCCCUUGCCUCGAAAGCUUCACUCUAACAGCCAUUGGUGUGCUUGUUGGCUUGCAGUUCUUCAUAGAGAACUUAUCCAGGAUCUUCAUAGUAAAAGAACUCUGACUAAGAAAGAUUCCCUUUGCUGUUUGCUUCACUUCCAUUCCAAGGAAGUAGUUCAUUCUGCCUAAAUCAGACAUUUCAAACAUUUCCAUCAUUUUUCUUUUGAAAUCUUCCAGCAUUCUUCUAUCUCCUCCAGUCACCAAUAAAUCAUCAACAUAGAGUGACAGGAUAAGCUGAGUUUCAGCUUGGUUCUUCUUCACAUACAGUGUUGGUUCACUGGGACUUCUCUCGAAUUCCAAACUGAGCAAGUAAGAAUCAAUUCAAGCAUACCAGGCUCGAGGAGCCUGUUUCAAGCCAUACAAAGCCUUUUUCAGUUUGUACACCAUGUGUUCUUUGCCAGUGAUCAUAAAUCCUUGAGGCUGCUCGAUGUAGAUCUCUUCUUCCAGGAAACCAUUGAGAAAUGCAGACUUAACAUCAAGCUGAUGAAUGGUCCACUGAUGUUGAGCAGCCAAGGCAACUAUCAUUCUAACUGUGUCAAGCCUGGCUACUGGUGCAAAUGUCUCCAGGUAGUCCAGACCAUACCUUUGGCUAAAUCCUUUGACAACAAGCCUGGCUUUUAGCUUGUUCAGACUGCCAUCUGCAUUCUGUUUUGCUCGAUAGACCCAUUUUACUCCAAUGGUCUUCUUUCCAGCAGGUUUAUCAACUAGCUCCCAUGUCUGGUUCUUCUCAAUCAUGUUGAUUUCAUCGACCAUAGCUAGUUUCCAACCUUCAUCUGCCUCAGCCUCUUCAAAACUGCUAGGUUCUGCUAUUGCAACAUGUGCCCUUUCAUAAAUAUCAUCUAGGGGCCUUGUGCCUCUCACAGGCAAAUCAUCAACAUCCAUUUCAGGUCCUAGCUGCUCAAGUUCAGCUUGAUUAGGCACCAGGUCUUCUGAAACUGCUUCUGGCUCAUUUUUCUCCCAAUUCCAGCAGGCUUUUUCAUCAAAGAUGACAUCUCUGCUCACCUGGACUUUGUUUGUCAAGGGAUCCAGAACCCUUAGCCCUUCUUGACUGAGCUGUAGCCUACUAGAACACCUGGUUGAGCCCUUUCAGAGAGCUUGUCUCUCUUUGCUACUGGUAUUUGUGCAUAACAUAGGCAACCAAACACCUUCAGAUGUGCCAAGGAAGGCUUGAAACCGAACCAAGCCUCGAAAGGUGUCUUGGAUGCAAGAGCUUUGGUAGGAAGCCUAUUCUGAAGAUAAACAGCAGUGUUUACUACCUCAGCCCACAUGGUCUUGGGCAGUUUCUUCUCAAACAGGAGACAUCUGGCCAUAUCCAUUAGACUUCUGUUCUUUCUUUCAACUACCCCAUUCUGCUGAGGUGUGUAGACAUUUGUAAGCUGGUGUUUGAUACCAGCAUCAUUGCAAAUGGCUUGAAACUGAGCUGAAGUGUACUCAGUGCGAUUUUCUGUCCUUAUCGAUUUCAUCUUGCAACCUGUUUCUGUCUCUACAACAGUUUUAAACUUCAUAAACACUUGAGCUACCUCAGACUUGUGUUUCAAGAAGAAAAUCCAGCAAAACCUUGUAAAAUCAUCAAUGAAGAGGAUGAAAUACCUAUUUUUGCUAAGUGAUUCAGUCCUCAUCGGGCCACAUACAUCAGAGUGCACCAGCUGCAGUCUUUCAGUAGCUCUCCAAGCUGAAUUUGUAGGAAAUGGCAGUCUUGCCUGUUUCCCCAUCUGGCAAACUUUACACACAUCAUCAUGCUCCACUGAGCUGGUGAAGUUCUCUGCCAAGCCCUCUUUGGCCAUUCGAGCCAUUGAUCUGAAGUUGGCAUGUCCGAGCCUUUGAUGCCAAAGCUUGGAGUCAUCAACAGAGGCUGUGUAUGCUGACUUUGAGUCAUUUGGCCAGUGAACCUCAAAGCAUUUAUCAGUCAUUGUGACUGUCAUAAGGCUUGAUCCACUUGGAUCAGCAAUGUGGCACUGUUUGUCUUUGAACACAACAGAAUAGCCUUUCUCGAGCAAUUGAGCUAUGCUGAGAAGGUUUCUGUCAAUCUCAGGCACCAACAAAACAUUUGAGAUGACUUUGUUGCCUGUAGAAGUGCAUAUCAACACUUCUCCUCUUCCUUCAGCUUUUAUAAACUGACCAUUUCCAACCUUAACCUUGGUUUUACAGCUUGUGUCCAAGGUUUUAAACAAAGAUGCAUCUGGUGACAUGUGGUUGGUGCAGCCACUGUCCAAUAGCCACCCUUUUGAGCAUUUCUUCUCAGCAGCUAAGCAAGACACAGCAAAGACCUGCUCUUCCUGGUCACUACUGUCUUCAGCCACUCGAGCUUCAACCUUUGGUUGUUGAAAUUGGUUCUGUCUUGGCUUGUUUCUGUUCUUACAGACCCUUUCAACAUGACCCUUCCUUCUGCAGUGUUGGCACACAGCAUCUGGUCUAAACCAGCAUCUGUCUUCUGGAUGACCUAGCUUUUUGCAAUGUCUGCAGGGCUGGUCACUGUUCCUUGCAGCAUCAGGCUUAGGCCUGUUUUUCCAGAGCCUUUUGCCUUUAUGAGUAUUGGUGCUCGAGGCUUCUCUGGCUCUAGCUUGAAAUGCACCUUCCUGGUGGUCUUCAGCUCUGCUAGCUCUCAUUUGUUCCUGAGCAUAAAAAGUGUUGAUUAGCUCAGUCAAGGAGAUGGUAGCAAGGUCUCUUGAGUCCUCAAGAGAGGAUAUCUUGGCCUCAUAUCUCUCAGGCAAAGUGGAGAGGACUUUCUCUACUAUCAUUGCCUCAUCAAAGUGCUCACCAAGGAGCCUUAUACUGUUAACCACUGCCAUGAUUCUAUCUGCAUACUGCUUCACUGUUUCUUCUUCCUUCAUCUUCAGAUUCUCAAAAUCCCUUCUCAAAUUCAACAGCUGCUGUUGCCUUGUCCUCUCAGUGCCUUGAAACUCCUCCUUAAGCUUAUCCCAGGCCUGUUUUGGAGUCUCACAAGCCAUAAUUCUGGUGAAGAUGACAUCUGACACACAGUUUUGAAUGCAGGACAUGGCUUUGUGCCUUUUGGUCCUUUCAUCAGCAUGUUGCCUGAUCUGAGCUACUGUGGGAUUGGCCCUCAGUGGUGCUGGCUCAACAUCUGUGUUGACAACUUCCCACAAAUCAAAGGCCUGCAGGUAAGUCUUCAUCUUGACCAGCCAUAUGUGGAAGCCUUCUCCAUUGAAGACUGGUGGGGCUGUUGGUGAAAAACUUGAGGAAGACAUUCAGCUUUUUUAGUUUGAUACAACAGGUCCACUAAGAAUGAAGCUCUAGAUACCAAUUGUUGGUGCAAAGAGGCAGCAGCAAAAUGUUAUUUGUCUUGCUUGGAUAGCAAGCCUCGAGCCUUGCUGAAGAAACAAACUCAGAAGCAAGAACAGAAACAAAUGUAAAAAUGGAAAACAAAAGGAGAGAGUAUUUUGAAUGAAAAGAGCUGAUAUUUUUCAUUAAAAAAUCAAGAAGGCAUAAUGCCAUUACAUAUAAUAGAUAACAACAACAAAAUGAACAAGUCAUUACCUAAUGACAUACUUAACACCACUAAAUUUACAUUGGAAAUUGUUAAUCAGCUUGCUUAAGUUUCUUUGCUGAUUUUCAGUCAAUCAAUCAACAAAAAAAAACAUCAUAAGGUUUACCAACUUAGUUCAACAUGAACUAGAUUACAAAAUAAUUAAAAAUACAAUCAAAACAUAACAAGUAGUUAGACAACUUCAAGCUCCAGUUUCUGCACUUCAUAGCUCGACUGCUUGCUGCCACUUCUUCUUGCAUGGCCACAUUUGCAUGUCUUGCAUGGGAACUAAAUUCAACACAUUGCACACUUCACAUGGUAUAUAACAUCACACUUUGAACAACAGUAACUACCAUGCUCUAUAUUGACUUCAUCAUGGUAUAUUAGGCAAUCCAAAACCCUAAAAUCUUCUAUGUGAUGGAAAUAUGUGUGAAUAAGGGGAUGGUCAUGCCACUUACUUUUGAUAAUGCGAGGCAAUGAAAUGCAAUUUUUAUGGAUUAUAAUGCUGCAUGUACCACAUGUAUAGGAAACAUGAUUUCCUUCAGUGUCACAAGCAUCACAAGUGAAUGGAACUUGUCUCAAAAACAAAGUGAAUGGAUGUUCAUGAUUUGUAUUCUUAAUAACUUGUAAUGAUGAUUGUGAUGCACAUUCAAUGUGAACAACAAACUUACAAGGAGAACAACCAUAAACAAAUCCUCUUCGCCUUGGUACUUAGCAUACAUUGCAAGAGAGUCGUUUGCUAUUAAAUUGUAGAACAAGAGGAUGCUUGCGAUGGUCACAUGAUUGAGUUUGAAAGGAAGCUCAGCGCAUUUCUCAUGUAAAUUAAAUCCACAAUCAGGAGAAAAGUGUGUACACAUUGCUAAUGGUUCCCAACAUCCAAAGCACUUACUAACAUCUUUGAGUUUUUUAUCACCAUUUUCAGUGGAAAUCAAUGGAUCAUGAAGGGCAACAUGCUCAAGCUCUUUCAAAUUAUUCUCAGCAAUAUUAAGUGUAAACAAAGCACAUUUAAUAUGAAAGUCCAAUUCACAACUAGAGCAGUGAUAAACAGACUUGUCACCAAAUUCAUGGCAGAAAGUGCAAAAGUACGCUCCAGAUAAAUGAGGUGACUUUUGCAUAAGAAGAAGAGGAUGGUUGAGAUGAAAAGGGUGAUUAAGUUCCAAAGGUGCCUCGGCACAUACCUUGUGAAGAUAAAACCCACAGUGCUCCGCACAGUAAAAACAUGGAGCAGACACUUUAUCCCCACACCUGGAGCAAUCAGUUACACCGCUUUGAUUGUCGAUCAGCUGCUCUUGAUUCAACAUAAGAAACAGGGGAUGUUGGUGCUCAUUAAACAAGGUGAAUGGAUGUUCAUGAUUUGUACUCUUAAUAACUCGUAAUGGUGAUUGUGAUGCACAUUCAAUGUGAACAACAAACUUACAAGGAGAACAACCAUAAAAAAAUCCACUUUCUGUACUUCGCCUUGUUACUCGACAUAUCUUGCAAGAGAGCCGUUGGCUAUUAAAUUGUAGAACAAGAGGAUGCUUGCGAUGGCACCCAUGAUUCAGUUUGAAAAGGAAGCUCAGCGCAUUUCUCAUGUAAAUUAAAACCACAGUCAGGAGAAAAGUGUGUAUAAUUUGUUAAUGGUUCCUGGCACCCAAAGCACUUAUUAUCAUCUUCAAGUUCUUCAUCUUGAAGGGCAACAUGCUCAAGCUCUUUCAAAUUAUUCUCAGCAAUAUUAAAUGUAAACAAAGCACAUUAAAUAUGAAAGUCAAAAUGGCAAGAGCAGUGAUAAACAAACUCAUUACCGCCUUUAUCGCAAAAAUUGCAAAUGUACCGUCCAGAUGAAUAAGGUGCAUUUUGCAGAAGAAGAAGAGGAUGAUGAGGAUGAAAAGGAUGAUUAAGCUCCAAAGGUGCCUCAGCACAUACCUUGUGAAGAUAAAACCCACAGUGCUCCGCACAGCAAAAACAUGGAGCAGACACCUUCUCCCCACACCUGGAGCAAUGAGUUACACCACUUUGAUUGUGGAUCAGCUGGUCUUGAUUCAAGAUAAGAAGCAGGGGAUGUUGGUGGCCAUAAUUGUUAGACUCCUCCAUUUCUCCUUCCCCAAGCAAUAUAAAUAAAGGAAAAGCUCGACUCUGGGAGCAAAGUUUGAAUGGGAAAACAAGAUUACAAGUGAAGAAAGAUAAUGAUUCAGGAAAUGGGAGAGCAUUUGAUAUUUAGACGCAGAGGACAACUCAAUUAGCUAGUCAAUGCUUUUAUUCAAGAUUACACAUGCUGUUCAUGGUGGGUUGAUUUGAUAUUUAUGAGAUUUAUUUAAAUCAAUUUUGUUUACAGUUUCAGUCCUCAAAUAUUGUAGUCGGGAAAAGUUUGGCUAUCUUUUUACACGAGAUAGGCAGUGGAGUAUUAGGGGGUUAGCAUGACUCGCACUCUUUGUUCAUUUUCUUGAAAUUUUAAAUUAAUAAUAAUAAAAUUAUAUCUUUUUUUUUCUUAAAACUAAUAAAAUUUUAAUUUAAUCUUUUAAAAGUUACAAAAUUAAUAAUUAAAAAUUUAAAUUUACCCCUUUAAAAUUUUUUUCUAACUUUACGCGAAGAUAGUUUGUUUUUGUUUUUUCUUUCUUUAAGUAAAAGCUAGAUACUAAUAAUCAUUUUCUUUCUUUACUUUGUUAUAAACUUCACUUUUUUGAUUAAAUGGGAAGGCUAAUAAAAUCACUUUAAGUCUCUCUUUACUAUCUGAGAUUUUUUUUUUUUGCUGUAAGGAUUGUUUUUGUCAAAAAUAUCAAACCGAAAAAUUUUAUUGGGAGUCACGUUUUAUAUCUAAUGUAAUAAAUACUUCAUUAUUUAUUAUCGUACAUAUCUUAAAAAUAUAUAUAAUACAUUAAAUACAUUAAAAAAAUGUUGUCUAACGCAUUCAAAAAUAUUUAUAUUAAAAAAUUACUAUCAUAAAUAUAAUGGAUUUAAUUAUUAUUGGAUUGGUGAUUUAAUAUAAAUAUAAUUGUUAGAAUUAUGUGACCCAAAUUCUAAGAGAUUGCUUGCAAGUCAAGUUAAACAAAAAUAUAUUUUCUUUCUAGAAGAUUUAGUAUUUAUUAGUAUAAUAUAUUUAGCAUUUAUUAGUAUAGUUUAUUUGACUUACUAAUUUAGCCUAUAAAUAGGCUCCUUUACAAUCUUAGAAUUAAGAGACACCCAUUAGAUUAGAACUCAUAACACAUUCAGAGAAUUUUGUGUUUACGUUUAAGGGUUCUUUGUUUUUCGGGUUUUUGGGGUUUAGUUUUUAUCUCCAUCUUUUGUACUCUUCAUUCUUUUGCCAUUAUAGUAAAAUUAUCUUUGCCCGUGGUUUUUUAUCCUCUUUUGAGGGGUUUUUCCACGUUAAAUUUGUGUGUUCAUCUUCUCAAUUUCUUCUACUAUUUUUACUUGUUCGUUGCUUAUUCGGGACGAUCCUAACAAUAAUUAUAAUUAUUUAAUAUAUAUAAUUAAUAUAAUAUUUUUUAGGAAUAAAUCUCAAAAUUAUAUAUGAACUUUGAUCUAAUGUGUAAUUGUGUAUAUGAACUUUAAUUUGGUGUAAUUAUACACGUGAAACUCUAAUUGUGGUUCAAAUGUAAACUUCAAACUUUAAUUUUUGAUUUAAUCAUGCACAUUUAAAGAAAUAAAUAAAUCAAUUUAUUUUUAUAUUAGAUAAAUAUAAUUAUUUAUGUAUGCAAUGUAAUGACCCAAUAGUCACAGGUAUCGGAAAGUGUAUUUUUGGGUCUCUGUUUUCGGAAAACAGAUCCGUAAAUAUUUAAUAAAAAUAUUUACGAAGUUAGUUGUGUGGUUAAUUAGAUUUUGAUUAGGUGAAUUUGCUUAAUUUAAGAGUAAUUAGGUGUAAGGACUAGAUUGCAUAUAGGGAGAAAGUUAAAUUAUAGAUUAAAGAAAAGUGAAGGGAUUAAAUAAGCAAUUAAACCGUUAACAAGUGUGUGGUAUUGGUAAUGAAAUGUGUAACAUUUAAAUACAAACAUUUAUAAUAAUUAUUACUUACUUAUUAAUAUUAUUAUAUUAUAUUUUUAUAAUAAUUAAAACAUAAAAUAAAUGAAAGAAAAAAAUAGAAAAAAAAAAGAACAAAGUAGAACGAAAUAGAGAAGAAAAAGAGAGAAAGAAAAAGGAGGAAAAAAAUUAGGGUUUUUAAGGGUUCAAAGCUUAAUUGGUAAGUCAAUUUAGUCCUUUUUCUUGUAAUUUUUAUGUUUUUAGAAUCUUAGUAUUAAAUACUACUUAACCUAUGUUGAAAUUUUAGAAAAUAUUGAAUUUUUAGAUGUUGUUCAUGUUGAAUAAUUUAAGUAUUUGGGAUUAAAUUGAUAGAAUUUUAAGUUAGAAAUGAAAAAGGGAUUGAAUUGUAAAAUAAAUUAUAAGUUUUGAGUAUUAGGGACUAAAUUGUAAAAUUUUCAAAAUUUAGGGAUUUGAGUAAAAUUGGAGAGUUGAAUUUAGUCUAAAGUGGAAAUUGAAUUUAGUCUAAAGUGGGAUUUAAGCUUAAUUGUUUUUUUUUUUAAUUUGAUGAAACAAAAUAAAAAAGAUGAGUGUUGAAAUAUGGAAAACUUUUAUUGUAAAAUUAUUAAGGUAUUUUAAAUAAGAUUAUGAGUAUUUUCUGGGUUUAGUUACAUAUUACCCAUAAAUUAUCCAAUUUUUAUUCUUUAAAUUUAUAUUUAAGUCCAAUAAGUUUUUUUUAAGAAAACUCAAAUUGUAAUAAAAUAAGCAAGGGUUAACGUUAAAUUGACUGAUUUUAGUAUAAAAUAGUGAUUGUAAUUAGUGUUAGGAUUGGGAAUUGGGUUGUGAGCUGAGUACCAUGUGCCACUGCCAUGUCUUUUUUUCUAACAUAAUACAUUAAAUUGUUUUAAUUUUACUUAUUGAAUAGAAAUAUAAAUAUGCAAAAGAAUGUUAUAGUUUUAUUCUAGGAUUACUCUAUACCUUUUAAUUUCCCAAUUUUUGGCAGAUGUAAAUGAGAUUUGGUGGCAAUUCCAGUUAUGGAUUUCAGACAAAAGCUAAAGAGAUUCCUUUAUCUAAAUAACAAACUUUCCAAAGCAUUUACUUCACAAGGCAUGCAUGCUUACAUUUAAAGUAACUAAAACACCGAUGCUCUAUAUUGACUUCAUCAUGACAUAUUAUGCAAUCCAAAACUCUAAAAUCUUCUAUGCGAAGGAAAUAUUUGUGAAAAAGGCGAUGAUCAUGCCACUUGCUUUUGAUGAUGCGUGGCAAUGAAGUGCACUUUUUAUGGACCAUAAUGUUACAUGUACAACAUAUGUAGGCAGCGUAACUUCCUUCAAUACCACAUGCAUCACAAAUGAAUGAUGAUCCUCUUAGCAACAAAGUGAAAGGAUGUUCAUGCCUUUUAUCUUCAACAACAAGAUCUAAAGAUUCUGAUACACAUUCAAUGUGAACACCAAACUUACACGGAGAACAACCAUAAACAAAUCCUAUAGCCUCUUCAUUGUUUUCGCCGCAUAUCUUGCAAGAGAGUGGUUCGCUAUUAAAUUGUAGGGUAAGAGGAUGCUUGUGAUGGCACUUAUGAUUCAGUUUGAAAGGAAGCUUAGCGCAUUUUUCAUGUAAAUUAAAUCUACAGUCAGGAGAAAAGUGUGUAUACUUUGCUAAUGGUUCCCAACAUCCAAAGCACUUACUAACAUCUCCAAGUUCUUCAUCACCGUUUUCAGUGGAAAUCAAAGGAUGUUGAAGGGCAACAUGGUCAAGCUCUUUCAAAUUAUUCUCAGCAAUAAUAAAUGUAAACAAAGCACAUUUAAUAUGAAAGUCAAAAUUGCAAGAGCAAUGAUAAACAAACUCACUACCGCCUUUACCGCAAAAAUUGCAAAAGAAGAAGAGGAUGGUUGAGAUGAAAAGGGUGAUUAAGCUCCAAAGGUGCCUCGGCACAUACCUUGUGAAGGUAAAACCCGCAGUGCUCCGCACAGCAGAAACAUGGAGUAGAUACCUUCUCCGCACACCUCGAGCAAUCAGUUAUAUCACUUUGAUUGUGGAUCAGCUGGUCUUCAUUCAAGAUAAGAAGCAGGGGAUGUUGGUGGCCAUAAUUGUUAGACUCCUCCAUUUCUCCUUCCCCAAGCAAUAUAAAUAAAGGAAAAGCUUGACUUUGGGAGCAAAGUUUGAAUGGGAAAACAAGAUUACAAGCGAAGAAAGAUAAUGAUUCAGGAAGUGGGGGAGCAUUUGAUAUUUAGAGGCAGAGGGUCGCUUAUAGUAAAGAUCCCGAAUCAAGCACCGCUAUACAAAACCUCUUGAUUUUUUUCAUUGUAUAAAAGUAAUAAAAAUACAUUAUAUUAAAGUUAAUACAUAUUAUAACUUAAUUAUUAUUUAAAUUUAUAUUUAAGUUGAAUACUUUUUUUAAACAAGAUUAGAACUCAAAUUGUAAUAAAAUAAGCAAUGGUUAACGUUAAAUUGACUGAUUUCAGUGUAAAAAAAGUGAAUGUAAUUAGUGUUAGUGUUAUGCAUUAGGGAUUGGGUAUUGGGUUUGGAGCUGAGUACCAUGUGCCACUGCCAUGUCUUUUUUAUACUUAAAACUUACAAUUAGAAAAGUUUGAGUGUGAAAACUCAAAUUGUUAUAAAAUACACAUUGGUCAAAGUGAUUGUAAAUAGUGUUAGUGUUAUGCAUUAGGAAUUGAGUAUUGAGUUUUGAGCUGAGUACCAUGAGCCUGUGUGCCAUGUCUUUUUUAUACCUAAAACCUACAUCAUUUUUCAUAAACAACAAAAUAAUCUUUGUCGAAACCGUUUUUUGUUUUAAACAAAAAUUUUAGUUGUCGACUUUAAAAAUAAAGUUGGAGUCGCCACCGAUCCUUUAUUAAGGUGUGAUCGGCCCGCCUUAAAAAUUAUUUUGGCCUGCGAAUUUUGAGAAAAUGAGUUCGGGAGUCAGUUACGCACGAGGAAAGGUUAGCACCCUCGUAAUGCCCAAAAUCGAUACCAAAUUGAUUAUUUGAUGCAUUAGUGCCAAAGGUUUAAAAAGAUUUUAAAAUCAACUCAAACGAUGGAAUUUGAAAAAGGAUAAUCAAUUGUUCAAGUCAUGUAAAGAAAUCGAGUCCCAAUACGUUAGGGUACAAUUCAUCAUAAUCCCUGAACUUUGAAUAUCACUUUAUUUUAUGUGAAAAUCUUCAUUUUGAGAAAGUAACAUGUCACACCCAAUACGUUAUGACACAACAAGUUAAGUUCCCAAAAAUGAUUUUUGUACUCAUGCACUUUGAAUAAAGAAUAUCCUCGGUUAUUUAAGAUUAAUGAAGAAAAUCAGAACCCAAUAUGUUAGGGCUCAAUUUCCCUCGAAAAUCCCAAACUUCGAAUAUUGCUUUUAUUCAAAAAAAGCCUUUGAAUUAAGAAAAUAACUUUGAUGAAUGGUUAAAACCAAAAUAUAUUUUUAAAAGGGUAUGUUAAAAAGUUAAUGUACAAUAUGGUACAGAUACUUCAAUUUACAACAUAUACGAAUAAAUAUUUGCAAAUAUAUAUAUACAAAUACAAUAUAACAGUAAAGUUGCAAACAUAUGUACACAUAUAUAUCUAACACACAUAUAGAAGUAUACAUGCAAAUAGAAGGAAUGAAAUAUAUCCAAUAAAACAAACAAAAAAACAUGUAUUAAAAAUAAAAUAAAAGUAUAUAUAAAAAAAUGCAUAUGUAUAUAUUUACAAAUGAAAUGUAUAAAUGUAUAUGUAAUAUAAAGUAUAUAAAAAAAAAGAAAAUAAAAUAAGGAUGUAAGGAAAAAUGUAUGUAUAAAUAUAUGCAUGUAUAUAUUAUAUAAAACAAAUGCGCAUGUACAUGUAUUUUACGAAAAACAUUUUUUUUUGAAAAUGAAAUUCACAAAAUACAUGUUUUGUAAAAAAUAUGAAAGGAAAAAAAAGAAAAUUAUAUAUAUAUAAAAUGCGCAUGUAUAUAAAAAAAACCCAUAUAUGUAUAGAUGUAUGUAUAUAUAUAUACUAUAAACGUGGGUAAAUGUAUAAGAAUAAUAAAAAACUAAAAAAAAAUUUAAAUGACUAAUGAAGGAUUAAAUCAAAAAUAAAAGAAUUUUAAGGGCCGAAUUUAGAAUAAAAUUUUAAAAAAGGGGCCACUUGAAUGCGCGCGUAACAGUGGAGGACCAAAGGGGGAAUUAUCCUGUCCUUCCAAAACGCUGCGCAACGAUGGGCCCAAAUUGAAAUAAAAAUAAAAUCUGCAGCUCAAUUUAAAAAAAAACAAAACAUGUUUAAUUGAAACGCAUCGCAAAUGCCAGGGGCUAAAAGCGCAAUUGUACCAUCAAAAACAAGAACGCGCGGAUCCUCCCCUUCGGGUCGGGUCACCGCGCGGGUCUGCUUUAAUGAAAACGGCGCCGUUUUGAAAGUGUUACUUAAACACAAAAAUGUAAAAAAAAAAAACAAAAUUUGCUGCAGAAGGAAAAAGAAAAAGAAAAAAGAAAGGGUUGGCCCCUUUUCCUCUACUAGGGUCACCGCGAUUUCAUCGAGAAUGGUGAUCGGAUAGGCGACACGACGGGCUCCAAAGGUAAGUUUCUUUUUUAAUAUUUUCUUUGUUAUUUUAUACAAAAUAAUGAUGAAAAUAAGAGAGAAAAACAAUAAAAAUUUCGUAAAAAAAAAAACAAACGCGGUAAAAUAAAAAGCCAAAAUCACCUUUGAAAACAAGUUUAAUAUCAAUAUUUUCUUUGAAUUUCUCUGCCUCCCCUUUUUACAGAUUUCCAAAGGCUUUUAUAGCCCGAAAAAGACCAAAUACAAGUGCUAUUUUUACUGUUUCCUCUCAUUCGGACUCUUUUGAGUCUGUUUUUUUGCAGGUAUUGUGCGCACGAAUGGCGCACGUUGAUAGGUCGGCCCCGAGACGUGUGGCGCUUGGGACGUCUGCUGGAGGCGCGGAGGCUGAUGGGGCUUGCGGCGCUGGACAUGCGGCUAGGGUUUGGGUAUUUUGGGGUCUAGUUUAGCUGUUUGGGCUUAGGUUAGUUUUGGGCCUGUAAUUGUUGGACUGUUUUUUAAUUUUAUUUGGACCUGGGUCGAUUGGGCCCUAUUACAAUCUUCAUUACUCAUGUAUCAAUGUAUAUAUAUUUAAUUUUUUCAAAAAUAUUAUUUAAAUUUAAGGUUGAUAUGAGAAUGUUAUCUAACGUCUGGGCUUUGAAGGCCUUGUAUGUUCUUUUUAAUUAAGCUUGUGUUAGAAUUUUUUUUGUAUUCCUCUUCAUUUGAAUUUUGCUCAUUUAUUUUGAUAUUGUUGUUUUUUUCGUUUAUCUUGAAGUGAUGAACACAAUUAUAAUCUUAUAAUUUUUUUAUUAAAUUGUACAAUUGUAGUAUAUUUUAAUUUAUCAUUGAGGUUGCCACAUAAUCAAAAUGUUCUCUAGGAUUACUAUGUAACUUUUAAUUUUUCCAAUUUAUAGCUUAAAUUUUUGGUAGAUGUAAAUGAGCUGUUAUGGAUUAGCUUCGCUACCUAAUGCUUGAUGUAGUAAUAAACCAGUGGCUAAAUUAGGAGAUUUGGUAGCAAGUGUGUAUGGCCUCUCAAGUUCCAGAAUAGGCUGCACAGAGCAGCAAUAGGAGCUUCAACUCUCUAACAGGUUCUCAUGCUCCUGCCAGUUCUCGCAUGGCUGCCUUCAGUUAAAACAUGGUUUAAAGAACUUAAACUUAACAAGGCAUGCAUGCCUACAUUUAAAGAAAUAACACACAGAAAUCAGGAAAUUGGAGUCUGAAUAAUCAAAUGUUCACAGAAAUUCCAACUUAAAAUAUGCUUCCCUUACAUUUCAACUUCAAAUACGAAACCCUAGUUUGGAUAAUAAUUACAAUCAGCAUUACAUGUAAUAAAAUACUGUGUUCUCCGCCAAAGAAAAGUGGUAGUUUUGGAGUAUAGUCACCACAACGCCACCUUAGUCCUCCAAAUCUGAAGAAUUGAAAUUUUUAUCGUGGACACUUAUUAUGGACAAUGAAGUUGCAUUCAGUACAUUCCAAAGCCAAAUCUAAAUAGGGCUCGCCACACUUACUGCAGUUUAGAUAGUAAUAAAUCUUCUUAACAACAGUGACAGGAUGCUCACGAAGGUCCUUACGUACUUUAACGAUACUCCCAAGUUUAAGGAAUAGAUCUUUACUACGGACACAAUGAGCAGAAGUAUCACAUGUUGCACAAUGAUAAAAUCAAAGAUUUGGAUCUCAGAAGUUCUUCACAAACAUGACAAAAAUGACUUUCUGAAUAACUAUUAUCAUCAUGAUAAACAAGUGAAAGAAUAUGUUAAUCAUUUUUGUGUUGGGAUGUAAUAGGCAACGAAAAAUAUUUAUGAUCUAAAGAAAGGGUGUUAAUGUGCGAGCACCAGGUGUAAGAGCAAUUAUACAUCGAAUUGCAUGUAUAUUUCUUACAUUCUUCACAUUUAUAGGCAGAAGCAUAAGACAAGCAAUGACAUCUUUCACAAAUAAUUACUUCGUUUGAAAUAAGGACUAAUGGUGGUUGGCAACGAUGAUGCCAAACAUGCUUUACCUUUGGUAACUCGACAUAAACUUUAUGGAGAAAGAAAUCACACUGUGUACAGUAGUAAAAUGAAGCCAAGAUCAGUAACAAGCACCCAUCACAACAUUUAUUAUCAUACUCACCUACUCUAUCACUUAACAUUAAGUGGUGAAUGUGCUUGAAAUGUCUAUUACUGUGGCUUCUCCAGCAUCAUUUCAUUCAAGAAACUUGGUUAUGGAGCUAACAGACUCAUCAGGAGAUUCCUUAUCUUCAUUUUCUAGUAUUGUUGGUUUUUAACUUAGCAACAAGGUUCAAAAACAAUCAAAAUAAUUGUUUAAGUGUUUGAAAGCUUAAAAACAGAAGCAAAACAAGCUGAAAAAUGAAUGAACAAAGUGUUUUCUUCAUUACUCGAAUAAUAACAUAGUUGCUUACAUAAAUAGAUCAAAAUACAUAGAAAGAAAACAAAGCUUGCUUGUGCAGGUAACUAAAGGUUUACAUCAACCAAAGACAACCUAAAUUGACUACUAAAUCAGCUAAGCACACAUUUAACCUUAGCUGAUCAAAGCAAAUAAUGAUUACACCAUAGGCUAACAAAAGUCAACUGGAUAAACAAAGCUACUGUCGAAUUACACCAUGGACUUUAGCAUGCUUCUGCUGAGUUCCUGGUUCCAUGCAUGCAACGUGAGUUUUGCAUGGUUUCUUGCAUAUUGCUGCUGUAGUUGCCACCUUUGAACACUCCUCCUUGGCUACAAAGCAGCAAACUCCUAUUUCAUUCUUCAAAUACUCAAAUUUUUGAGCAGCCAGUGGUUUGGUCAAUAAAUCAGCAAGCUGAUCUUUUGAGCAGCAGUGAACCAAGCUAACUUCUUUCGACAUUUCAGCCUCCCUCACAAAGUGAUAUUUGAUUUUAAAAUGCUUGGUCUUUCCAUGAAAAAUCAGAUUUUUAGCAAUGGCAACAGCAGAUUGAUUGUCAACCUUAAUCACUGUGGCCUCCUUUUGAUCAGCAUUCAAAUCGCACAACAUUUUUCUAAGCCAAAUGGCUUGAUUUACUGCAGAGGCAGCAGCAAUAUAUUCAGCCUCAGCAGUGGAUUGAGCCACUGUCUGUUGCUUCUUCGAGCUCCAGCAAAAAACACCUGAACCAAGAGUGAAGAAAUAACCUGAUGUACUCUUCAUGUCAUCAGCUGAACCAGCCCAGUCACUGUCUGAAUAUCCCACCAGCUUUAAUUCUUUAGUUCUUUCAAACUUCACUCCAUAAUUCCAAGUCCCUUUGACAUACCUUAGGACUCUUUUUGCUGCUUUAAAGUAAGCAAUAGUGCAGCAGUGCAUGAAUCUCGACAGAAGACCAACAACAUACAUGAUGUCUGGCCUAGUUGCAGUUAGGUAGAGUAGGCAACCAACUAGACUUCUAUAAUUCCUUUCAUCCACUCGAUCUUCAUCACCAUGGCUUGAGAGUUUUUCUCCUAGUGCCACAGGAGUGCUAGCAGGUUUGCAAUUUGACAUGCAAAACUUGCUCAAAACCUUUGAUGCGAAUGCUUUCUGACUUAUGAAAAAGCCUUGCUCAUUCUGGUUUACCUCCAUACCUUGGAAGUAAGUUAUCAAACCAAGAUCAGUCAUCUCAAACACACUUUGCAUUUGCUUCUUAAAGGUUUCAAUUAGUUCACUUUUGCAACCAGUGACUAACAAAUCAUCCACAUACAAAGACACUAUCAGCAUGGUCUCUUCUUCAUUCUUUUUGACAUAGAGAGUAGGUUCACUAGUGCUCUUGGUGAACCCAAGCUUUGUCAAGUAGGCAUCUAUUCGAUCAUACCAAGCUCUUGGAGCCUGUUUCAGACCAUACAGGGCCUUCUUGAGCUUGUAGACCUUUUGUUCCUCUCCAUGAACCUCGAAGCCUUCAGGUUGCUCUACAAAGAUUUCCUCCAUGAGGAAUCCAUUCAAAAAAGUUAAUUUAACAUCCAAUUGAUGCACCUGCUAUUGUUUUUGAGCUGCUAAGGCAAAUAACAGCCUUAUGGUAUCCAACCUUGCAACAGGAGCAAAGGUUUUAAAGAAAUCGACUUCUUGCUGUUGACUGUACCCUUUCACAACUAAUUUGGCUUUGUGUUUGUUUAGUGACCCAUCUGCAUUGUUUUUAAUUCUGAACACCCACUUGACUCCAAUGAUCUUCCUAUUUUCUGGCCUAUCAACCAGUUCUCAGGUGUCAUUCUUUUGAAUCAUCUUUAGUUCAGCUUCCAUAGCUUCUUGCCAGCAUCUUUCUUUUGUAGCCUCAUUGUAGCAAGAUGGCUCAACCAUGGUUACAGCACAUCUCUCAUAGAUGUCUGCCAAUGUCCUGGUACCUCUGACAGGCAUAUCAUCAUAAUCAUCCAUAGCUUCACCUUCAGAUUCAGCAUGCUGUAGAUCAAGGUCCUACAAGUCUUCUUCAACUAAGCUUGCAUCUGUCCUAUUCCACUUCCAACAGCUUCCUUCAUUGAAUUUGACAUCUCUACUCACAAUCACCUUCUUGGUAGAUGGAUCAUAGAUCCUAUAACCCUUCUUCACACUACUGUAGCCAACAAACACUCCUGGCAUGGACUUUUUCUCCAGCUUAGUUCUUUUCUCUGCUGGCACUAAUGCAUAACACAAGAACCCAAACACCUUCAAGUGUGACACAACUGGUUUCUACCCAAAUCAAGCUUCAAAUGGUGUUUUACCCUUAACUGCUUUAAUUGGCAAUCUAUUUAGCAAGUAAACAGAUGUGUUUAAUGCUUCUGCCCAGAAAUUGUUUGGCAUUUUGGCCUCAAACAGAAGGCAUCUAGCCAUAUUGAGGACAGUCUUGUUUCUCCUCUCACAAACACUAUUCUGCUGUGGUGUGUAGACAGUAGUCAGUUGGUGUAGGAUGCCAGCAUCAUCACAGAUUUUCUGGAACCUCUGAGACACAUACUCAGCUCCAUUAUCUGACCUUAGGCUUUUAAGCUUGCAGUUGGCUUGGUUUUCUACCAAAGCUUUGAACUUGCAAAAGAAGUCAAUAACAUCUGACUUUUGUUUCAGGAAGUUUACCCAGCAAAACCUGGUGCAGUCAUCAAUGAACAGGGCAAAAUACCUACAGCCAUUCAGUGAGCUGGUCUUCAUUGGUCCACAGAUGUCUGUGUGAACCAGCUAAAGUUUCUCUUGGGCUCUCCAUGCUUUGUUGACUAGAAAAGGCAGUCUGGUCUGUUUGCCAAGUUGACAAACUUCACAUACUUCUUUCUUUGGCUCAAACUUGGACAAUUCUUCCACCAAAUUUAGUUUUUGCAACUGCUCGAGUGAAUUGUAGUUCACAUGCCCCAUUCUUCUAUGCCACAAACUUGCUUCAUCAGCCUGAGUUGCAUAUGCUUUGGCUUGCAACUGAUUUACAUCAAUAUUAAAGGUUCUAUCUUGCAUGGCUACUGCUAUCAACACUUGGUUAGCAACAUCCUUGAUCACACAGGUUUUGCCAUUAAACAAGAGGGAGUAACCCCUUUCCAGCAGCUGACCAACACUCAACAAGUUUUGAUCAAUGUCAGGCACAAAAAGAACUUCAGGGAUAGUUUUAAUACCUGACUUGGUGCAGAUUAUAGCCUUGCCUUUGCCUUUGGCCUUGAGAACCUCACCAUUUUCAAUUCUGACUUAGGACUCAAAGGAGGUGUCGAGCUCCUUGAAACUGCUUUCAUCUGAGGCUAUAUGAUGAGUGCAUCCACUAUCAAUCAGCCAAAUCUUGCUGACUUUGCUAGAGCUAGCAAAGCAGGAGGCUGUGAAGACUUGUUCUUCCUGUGCCUCAGUAUCCUCAGCAGCUUGAGCUUGAUUCUGAUGCUGUGACUGAGCUUUUGGCUUGUUUUUGCACACUUUUUCAAUGUGUCCAAGCUGUUUAUAGCCUCUACAUUGAAUGUCAGGCCUGUACUAGCAAUAUUUUUCAAUGUGAGUUUUUUUUUUUUUUGCAAUGAGCACAGGGUGGAAAUUUUUUCUUGGCAGCUUCCUUCUUCCCUCUUUUUUUCUUUUCUGACCAAGGCUUCUUGCCUUUGUAAUUGGAGCUCGAGCUUGAGCUCUUUCUGCUCUUGGUUUGAAAGGCACCCUCAGAAUACUCCUCCAUUCUAUUUGCUCUUCUUUGCUCUUGUGCAUAGAGAGCAUUUAUCAGCUCUGUCAAAGGAAUGGUUGAUAAGUCCCUCGAGUCCUCCAGGGAAGAGAUUUUUGAUUCAUACUUCUCGGUAGGGUUGUUAUGACUUUCUCAACUACCCUCUGAUCACUAAAAUCAUCCCCAAGCAGUCUUAUGUUGUUGACAGUAGCCAUAAUUCUGUCAGCAGACUGUUUGAUGGUUUCUGAGUCUUUCAUUCUCAGAUUCUCAAAAUCCCUUCUCAAGUUGAUCAGUUGUUGCUGUCUGGUCUUGUCUGAACCCUGAAACUCCUCUUUGAGUUUAUCUCAGGCCUCAUUUGGUGUGUCACAAGCCAUUAUCCUUGUAAAGAUGACAUCUGAAACUCCACUUUGAAGGCAUGCAUAGCCUUAUACUUCUUUGCACAGUCUUCAUUGUGCUGCCUUAUUUGAGCUAUCGUUGGAUUAACUCUCAAUGGUGGUGGUUCUGCAUCAUUUUGAAGAACAUUCCACAGGUCAUGUGUAAUACCCCCUACCCGUAUUCGUCGCCGAAAUAGAGUAUGAGGCAUUACCAGGUUUUACCGAAAUUUUUUUUUUCAAGAUAGAUUUAUCAUAUUCAUAAGAUAAUUUCAUCACAUACCAAAACCAAAAUUUGUUAGCCAUACCAAUGGCUAACCAUACAUUCAUUUCACAUUAACAUCUAAUUUACUAGCUUAUACAUGCCAUUGAUUUCCAAAAUAAAGUUCCUUUAUGUACCGAGAUCUUGAGAUUGAUAGUGUGAUGUGUCUCCGACCAAAUCCGACCUCCGAGCUCUUAACUCUACAAAUAGGGGAAAAAGAAACAGGGUAAGCACUUUGUGCUUAGUAAGUUCAUGCAACAGGAAUUAUACUUACCAUACUUAUACAUCCAUCAUUUAAUAACACAAGCACACAUCCAAUUCACAAAAACAUAUACCUAUCACAUACAAACUCAACCUCAUACAAAUUCAUUACAAAGAUAAAUGAUUGAUGAGCUCAUCAAUUCCAUGAUUUCCAUGUCCUUGUUAUUUUUCCAUAUUUAUCCCGUUGAACUAUUUGGAAUUUCGAUGGAUAUUCAGGGGUACACCUAAGUGUACAAAUCCGGGUCCGUCAAUUCAUAUUCAUGUGCGCACAUUUCCAUUUCAGAGAGCACACUCCCGCGAACCUCAUCCUUACAGCGGGAUUACCAGUCCAGGCUAAAUCCCCUGUAAUAUAAACUCACAGAGUAUUGUCGGGAUUACCAGUCCAGGCUAAAUCCCCUGCAACGACAAUUACUCUAAUGAGCUUGGAUCUGAAUUACCAGUCCAGGCUAAAUUCAGACCCUAAUUCGGAUUACCCGUCCGGGCUAAAUCCAUUUUCCACAUAUUCUUCGGGAGGGCUAUAUCAGGAUAGGAUCACCCGUCCGGGCUAGAUCCUUUUUAUAUUCAAUUCCUUUUCAGAGAUCCAUCGAAUUUUCCUUUCAUUCAACCGGGAUUUAUUUUCUCUUUUCAUCAAGAAUAUCAAUACUUCAUCAAUUAUCAUACAAUAAACAUCCAACUCAUAUUCACAUCAAUAACAAACAUUUCAAGCAUUUAUGAAUAUAAUUCAAGUUACAGAAACUUACCUCGACAAUUGUUCGUAAACAAAAAUCUACUAAUCCCGAACUUUUUCUUUUCCUCGAUAUUGCUUCGUAUUUGAAUUUUCUGGAUCUAAAUAAAUAAAUUUAAUCAUUAAUCUAAUACAUUUCAUGUUCAUAUGUAACUUUCUCUACAAUUCCAUUAUUAUUUAUAGUGCAUUCAAAGCUGCCUCACUGAGUCACAGUCACUAAAUUAUUUAUAUCUUGAGCUACAGAACUCUAAACUAAGAUCCGUUAAUUUUCCCUAAAACUAGACUCACAUAUCUUCUUACCAUAAAAAUUUCAGAAUUUUUUGUUUAUCCAAUAAGUACAGUUUAUUCUUUAAAUUUCCCCUGUUUCACUGUAUGACAGUUCUGCCCCUCUUCACUAAAAAUUAAUUAUCUCACUGUACAGAAUUAGGAUGAUGCUUCCCUUUAUUUCUUCAGAAAAUAGACUCAUUAAGGAUUCUAAGCAUAUAAAUUAUAACUCAUAAUCAUUUUUUUAAAAUUUUGAAUGAUUUUCCAAAGUCAGAACAGGGAAACCCGAAUUCAUUCUGACCUUGUCUCACAAAAUCUAUUAUAUCUCAUGAUUUACAAUUCCAUUGCUUACACCGUUUCUUUUAUAAGAAACUAGACUCAAUAAGCUUUAAUUUCAUAUUUUAUUCAUCCUCUAAUUUGAUCUAUACAAUUUUUGGUGAUUUUUCAAAGUCAGAGUACUGCUGCUGUCCAAAACUGUUUUAGUGCAUGGUGUUAAUUACCAUUUUUCCCUUAAACUUUCAACAAUGAUAAUUUCGUCCCUGCUCAAUUAACCUCUCAAUUGAGCUGAUUUUUUUCUCAAUCAACACUUUAUUAUAUCACUUUAAACUACCUUAUAACCUUUGGAAAUCAUAAUUUCAGUACUAAACUUUAAUUCCAAACUUUUUCACAAUUAGGUCCUACAAAUCAAUUUCUAUUGGAAUUACCUAAUAAAAUCAUCUCACAAAAGCUUCAAUUUCAUCCUAUUUCAUCAUAAAAUUCCAGCACAUAUUCAUAGCAACUUUCAAAUUCAUUCAUAAAAUCAAAAACUAAUGAAUUUAGUAAUAGGACCUAGUUGUAAAAGUCUUAGAAACACAAAAAUUACAAGAAAAAGGCAAGAAUUAACUCACUUGGUGCAAAAAUUAUGAAAAACCAGCUUGAAGAAACCCUUAGGACGUUUUUGGCUGAUGAGAGUGCAGAAAAUGUGAAGAGAAUUCUAGAUAUUCCAAUUUGGUCCCAUUUUUAUAUUAGUGAAAUUUGUUAUUUUCCCAUUUUACCCUUAUUUCAUCAAUUCUCCUGAUUUUUCUCAGCUUAUGCCGCCCAAAAUAUCUCAUUUUGGGGUUAUUUUCAAUUUAUGUCCCUCCUCAUUUCACAAUUGAGCUAUUUAAUCCCUCUAGUAACUUUUACACCUUUUUCAAUUUAGUCCUUUUUACUUAAUUGACUACCCAAACAUUAAAAUUUUCUAACGAAAUUUUAAUAUCAUAUUACUAACACUUCAUAAAUAUUUAUAAAAAUAUUUUUGACUCGGUUUUACGAGAUCGAAGUCUCGAUAUCUUAUUUUUACCUAAUUUCUUCAGUAAUUUCUUUUUCUAACUAACCACUUAAUCAGUAAAAUUUUUCUAUCGAUAUUUUCAUACGAUUUUUCCUAUCAUAUCAAUAUUCAUGCAAAAAUAUUAAAAUAAAUUUCUCUUUAAAUUAGAUUUGUGGUUACGAAACCACUAUUCCGAUAAUUUUGAAUUUGGGCCAUUACAUCAUGUACCUAUAGAUAUGUUUUCAUUUUUACAGCCCAUAUGUUGUAGUUUUCACCAGCAAACACAGGUGGAGGUGGUGGUGAAAAGCUCAUCUUUAUGCAGCUUCUAAAGACUAAGUAGCAAAGGUAGCUCCUGUUUCUUUUCUUUCAAGCACUUGACUUCAACAACCUUAGUCACAACAAGAGGCCCUCAAAGACAGUAGGCUCUGAUACUAUUUGUUGGUUUUUAACUUAGCAACAAGGUUCAAAAACAAUCAAAAUAAUUGUUUAAGUGUUUGAAAGCUUAAAAACAGAAGCAAAACAAGCUGAAAAAUGAAUGAACAGAGUGUUUUCUUCAUUACCCGAAUAAGAACAUAGUUGCUUACACAAAUAGAUCAAAAUACAUAGAAAGAAAACAAAGCUUGCUUGUGCAGGUAACUAAAGGUUUACAUCAACAAAAGACAACCUAAAUUGACUACUAAAUCAGCUAAGCACACAUUUAACCUUAGCUGAUCAAAUCAAAUAAUGAUUACACCAUAGGCUAACAAAAGUCAACUGGAUAAACAAAGCUACUGUCGAAUUACACCAUGGACUUUAGCAUGCUUCUGCUGAGUUUCUGGUUCCAUGCAUGCAACGUGAGUUUUGCAUGGUUUCUUGCAUUUUGCUGCUGUAGUUGCCACCUUUGAACAAGUAUUUUAUAUGAACCUUUAUCUUUCAUUACACACUUCACAAGGAAUAUAACACUGCACUUUGAACAAUAAUAGCUACCAUGCUCUGUAUUAACUUCAUCGUGGCAUAUUAAGCAAUCCAAAAUUCUAAAAUUUUCUAUGUGAUGGAAAUACGUGUGAAGAAGGCGAUAAUCAUGUCACUUAGUUUUGAUCAUGCGAGGCAAUGGAAUGCAAUUUUUAUGGAUUAUAAUGUUGCAUGUAACACAUGCAUAGGCAACAAGAUUUCCUUUGGUGCCACAAGCAUCACAAAUGAAUGAAACUUGUCUCAAAAACAAAGUAAGUGGAUGUUCAUGAUUUGUACUCUUAAUAACUUGUAAUGGUGAUUGUGAUGCACAUUCAACGUGAACAAUAAACUUACAAGGAGAACAACCAUAAACAAAUCCACUUCGCCUUUUAAUCAUGAUAUGAAAUUUAUGAAAUAAAAUAAUUUAACGAGUCUCUUUGCUUUGCGGAUUAGGCCAUAAAUAUCAAUACAUAAUGUGUUUUGUUAUUGUUUGUUUGCUCAGAAAUAUGUAAGUAAAUUCAUUGAAAUUCACUUGUGCAAAUCUCGAAUAUGAAUAUGUCUCGAAUUAAGUAAUUGAAAGAUGGCAAAAUUUUUCUACCGCAUGUGCAUUCCAAAAAAUUAUGGUGUUUUUCCAAAAUCAAAUUUUUUUGUUCAACACCUUGGACUAGACCUCCCUUAAAAAAUAUCGUUAAAAGAUCAUUAAUUCUUAAUGAAAUAGAAGUAGCAGUGGCUUGUUGGAAACCCAAAAUUUUUACUUGAUCCAAGAGGUGUGAUGUAUAUGUCAUUAUGAAGUAAUCUAUUAAUCUACUAAUAAGCCAUUUAAUGGAAGUUCCAUCUAUCACUUUAUUUUGAAAUAUCAAACUGGCUCGUUCUGUCAUAAGUAUCCUUAUAUUCCACUAAGUGAACCUUGCCAACGGGUUCGAGUCAAUGAUUGGAAAACUUUUUUUUUCUUUUUUUUUUUUGGUAGAAAGUUGGGUUAGGAAUUGCAAUCCUAAAACCAAAAAGACCCAAAUUCAUAUUGGUGUCAUAAAUUUUUUUAGUUUAGAUACCAUAUGACUGAUAUCAUAUGAGUAGGCCCGAAAAACCCUUUGUAUAACUACUUAAUUUAGUAUAGUUACUCAAUGUUGAUUGUUUUUCCUUUUUGACAUGGUUCGUAAAAUGAAAACUUUCAAAAAACUGUAUUUUUUAUCCAAAAUAAAGAAUUUUUUCCUUUAUACAUUGUUGUAUAUGUUUCCUUCACUUCUAUUUUCUUUGGUUUAUUUUUUUUAAUUUUGUUCAUUUUUUUUCACUUGAAUAAUUUUAAUUUUGACACUUUUACGCGUUUCAAAGUUUAAUUUAAUAACAAUAUUCAAUGUUGUUUGAACCAGACCAGUCAAUAUGAAAAGUGGUUUUGAAUCGUUAGAUCGAGAACCAGUACAAAUCAGUUAAACCAACUAAAAAUCAAUUGAACCACCAGUUGGACCAAUUGAACCAGCUAGAAACCAAAUAAAUCGGUAUUUUUUUAAUAAUUUUUUAAUUUGAACCGUUUAAACCGACCAGACUAAUAAAUCAAUUGUCUAAUCGAUUCGAUCACCAAUCCGAUUUUAGAAAACAUUAAUAUUUUCUCCCUUCUAAUACAAUCUUUUAACUUUUAAGUAUAAAAUAUAUUAAACAGAGAAAAAAUUGUUGACAAAAAAAGAAAUUUAUCUACUACUCUAAAUAAAUGUUGACAAUUAAAAAUAAUAAUUAAACUUCAAAAAAUUCAUGAAAAAUAAAAUAGAGUUGUUUUAUAGUAAAGAAAAAUAAUUAAAUAAUCUUUGAUCCACUAUUAAUUAUAAUGUGAUAAUAAAAAAAGUAAAAUUAGUUUAUGUAAUAAUUUAUUUAUAUACCAUUUAUUAAUAAAAUAUUUAAACUUACAAAACCAUUGAAUAUAAUUGAAUUAAUUACAAAUAAUAAAAAUUCAAUUUUUUUUCUAAAAAGUGUCAUAUAGAUAAUCAUAAAAUUUUAAUUUAUUUAAAAUAUAUAUAUUCAAAUAACAAAGUUUAUUAUAUGGAAACUUUUUUAAUAUGAAUAAAACCAAAGAGAAAGAAAAUAAAAUAUGCAAAGAAUAUUAAAAUUUGAGGCUAAUCUUUAUUUAAUUAGUAAAAACAUGAUUGUAAAAUUAUAUUAUUUUAUAAAUUAAAAAAUAAACACUUAAAAUCACAUUAAUGCACUUGGCAAUGGAAACAGGUUUGGGGUUGCAAAAUGUGUGCCUUCAAUAAUAAUUCAUCAAUGUCCUCGGUUACUUUCAUGGCCAGAAAGCUCUGCUCAUAUGAGUGUAAAUAGCAUAGUUUUGCCCUAAUUGUCUAAACAAUCAUUGCCUUUUGUCUUCACUAGAUUUCCAAAACACGCAACAUUUAGAAAAGUAGGCAUUUACCCUAAAUCUUGUGUUUCCAGCCAUUGCUCCAAGUCAGAAAUACUUGUAUAUGAAAAAUAGUUUUAAAACAUGAACAGAUUUAUGCAAGCACAUACUCGUGUUUGCCCAAAUCCGAGUAACAUAGAUUCAAAGUGAAAGAGGAAUGAGAAGAGCUACAGUGAAAGCACUGGAAUUACAGAAUAAAAACCAACAAUAAGCAAUCCAAACCACACAAGUUUCAACCCAAUCAAUUGGUUAAAUUACAUUAUUUCAACUUACAACUGAAAAGCGAAUUAAAAGUCUCUAACUGUCAAGUAUCUACUUCCAGAGGCAUAUGGGUUCAUACAUUUCCAGUGAACGAGAUAGUUGCACUCUGGUUCUGCACAUUCAAGAGCCAGCUCCUCACAGGGCUCUCCACAUUUGGUGCAUUCAGGGUAGAGCUGUAUCUUCUUUACAAAUGUGAGAGGGUGCGGAUGAUCCCCUUCUUUGUAGAUGCUCCCAGUUUUGAUAUAUAGAUAUUCACCGAGAAUGCAUUUCACAUGGGCAGAUGUGUCGCAAGUUGUGCAAUGAUAAAACCAGCGCUUCGGAUCUCUUUUUCGCUCACAAAUGUCACAGUAAUGAUGUUUUGAAUAAUCAUGAAUUUCAUGAUAAGUGAGUGCAAGAAGAUGCUCAUCGCAUUUGUGACUGACUCUAGUUGGUAGUAGCAUACAUGAAAGAUCUACAGAAUAAUUGCAAUCCUUGCAGCUAAAUCCCUGUUUUAUAUCCAAACCACAAGCACUACACCGCCCAACAAACUCAUAAUAGAAAAGAAGGGGAUGUUCAUGUCCUGGACAUGAUAGAGCAUCAGGAGGAAGAGCUUGACAUCGAAGGCACAUGUGCCUUCCACAUUCAUUACAUUUGUAGGCAAAACCAUUAGAAAGGAAAUCACAUACUUCACAUCUGAAAAUGUUGUCUGAAGUCAAGACAAGGGUUGCUAAUUGGCAUGAAUGAUUCCAAAUAGGCUUCAUCUUUGGUAAUUCGGCGCAAGCUUUAUGCAGAAAGAAUUCACACACAGAGCAAUAGUAGAAUGAAUCUGAGAUCAGCAACAUGCACCCAUCACAACAUUUAUUAUCAUACUCCCUGAUUUCGUCGCUUAAGGUUAAGUAGUGGUUAUGCUUGAAAUGUUCUAUUAUUGUGGCUUCUCCUGCAUCAUUCCUCUCAAGAACACUAGUGAUGGAGUUCAAAGAUAUAUCAAGAUGCUUCUCAUCUUCAUUUUCUGGUGAAACAACAUAAAAAAAAAAUGCAUAUCUAGUUGCACAAUUCACAUGGAAGAUGAUAUUGCAAUCUACACAGUAGUAACUUCCAUACUCUGUGUUGACCUCAAUAUGACAUAUCAUGCAAUCCAGUCUUCCAAAAUAUUCUUUGUGAAGGAAGUACGUGUGAGAAACAGGAUGGUGAUGCCACCUGCAUUUGAUAAUGUGUGGCAAUGAAAUGCAUUUUUUAUGGACCAUAAUGUUGCAUGUGCAGCAUGCAUAGGCAGCAUGAUUUCCUUCGGUGCCACAAGCAUCACAAAUGAAUGGAGCUUGUCUCAAGAUCAAAGAGAAUGGAUGUUGGUGACUUUUAUCUUCAAUAAUAGGUGAUGGUGAUACACAUUCAAUGUGAAUAGAGAAAUUACAAGGCGAACAACCAUACACAAAUCCAAUAUUUAUCUGUCCAGUUUCUUGGCAUACCUUGCAAGGGAGUUCUUCGCUAUUAAAUUGUAGAACAAGAGGAUGCUUACGAUGGCACACAUGAUUCAGUUUGAAAGGAAGUUUAGCGCAUUUGUCAUGUAAAUUAAAUCCACAGUCAGGAGAAAAGUGUGUAUACUUUGCUAAUGGUUCCCAACACACAAAGCACUUAGCAACAUCUUCAAGUUCUUCAUCACCAUUUUCAGUGAAAACCAGUGGAUGUUGCAGGGCAACAUGCUCAAGCUCUUUCAAAUUAUUCUCAGCAAUAUUAAAUGUAAACAAAGCACAUUUAAUAUGAAAGUCUAAUUUGCAAGAGCAGUGAUAGAUGAAUUUCUCACAUGUUUUACCACAGAAAUUGCAAUAACACCCUGUCUCUGUGUAAGAAGAUGGUGGCUCUUGCAGAAGAACAAGAGGAUGAUGAGGAUGAAAAGGAUGAUUAAGCUCCAAAGGUGCCUCGGCACAUACCUUGUGAAGAUAAAACCCACAAUGCUCCACACAGCAAAAACAUGGGGCAGACACC